rnacentral:lncRNA from 1 species
GUGUUUUCUUAUUUUUUAACUUUUUAUAUUUUAAAAACUAAAUAGAUGUAUUAUGAAAAAAACAUUUAGUUAAUUUUUCAAAAGUGUUCAUGGCAUAUCUAAAAACUAUUCAUGCAAUGAAAAAAAUGUUCACUAAACUUUUUAAAAAUAUGUGUAAUAAUCUAAAAAUAUAUUUGAUCAUUCCAAAAUAUUCAAGUGUAUAAAAAAUGGACAUGAGAUUUUUCAAAAAAUAUAGAAUGUAAAAAAUAUCCGUGCAAGUAAAAAAGUGUGUUGUACCAUUCAAGAAAAUGUUCACGAGUUUCAAGAUAUGUAUAUGACACUUGAAAAAAUGUUAAUACAAGAAAAAUAAUCUCGCAGUUUAAAAAUGUUUUGUAUCAUUCCAAAAUUUGUUUCAACGUGCAUUUAAAAAAAUGAUAAUUAUUUAAAAAAUGGUGAAAACAUGUAUUUGAAAAAUAUUACAUGUAUAUAAAAAAGUUUUAGAUGUAUAUGAGAAAUGUAAGAUGCAUAUGAUAAAAGUAGACAUCAAAACAUGUAUUUAAAAAGAUAUAAAAAAUGUACUUAAAAUGUUCCUGAAGUAUACAAUUUUUUUACUAUGUGCAUUCAAAAAAUAGACUUGUGCUUAAAAAAAGAAGAAAACCGGUGAAAACCGAAGAAAGAAACACAGAAAACCAAUGCGGAAAAUAAAAUAAUAAGAAGAAGAAGUGUAAAAUCUGAAUAAAGAAUAGAAAGCCAAAGAAAACCAGUGUAAAACAGUAAAAGGAACAAUAAAAACAACAGACAAAAAAGAUCCUCGCAGCCCGUAUAAGGUCGGCAAAGUUGCGCCGCGGUGUAAGCGAGACUAAUAUGACUCGCAACUAGAGUGCUCUUAUUCAGCGACCUACACGCUGAAUAGUGAGGAAACGCGCACCCCCAGUCCCCCGCUGGAGUUUUUGGAACGGCCCAUGUGCCGAGCGGGAAACGCCUGUUUUUUAUAUUUCGUUUUUUCGAGUUUUAUUUUAUUUUUAUGUUUUGACUUUUACUGCCGUCAAAUAAUUUAGGAUCUCAAAAUAAAUUGUGAAUUUUGAAAAACUUGUUCGCAUAUUCGAAUUUUUUUACAAAUUUCAAAAAUAUUCCUGAAUUUCAAAAACGAUUCUUCAAUUCCAAAAAACUCCCAAGUUUUAUAAGAUUUCCAAGAAAUUUUACAAACAUUUGAAAAUUCAAAAAAUGCUCGCUGAUCUGGAAAAUAUGUUCGUAAAUUCAGAAAUUCUUCAAGUAUUUAAAAAAUGGUCACAAAUACAAAACAAAUCAAGGCUUUGAAAUUUUUCACAAAGUUCGAAAAAUAUUCUUGAAAUUUAAAAGUAAAAAAUGGGAAAAAAACAGAAAAGAAGAAAAAGAAAAAACAAGACUAAACAACAAUGCGCCAUUCCUAUAUAAAGGACUUCGCGUACGGGAAGGUACGCGCGCUCCCUUUUGGGCCUUCCCAUGUGCCGCCCCCUGUUCUUUAAAUUCGCUCUUAUUGUAUUUUUCCUUUUUUAUUUAAAAUGACUAGGUAUUAUAUAAGAAUGUGCAUUUUGAAAAACAAAAUCAUUAAAUCCUAAAAUGCAUAUGAAUUCAAUAAAAUGUUCAUUAUUCUAAAAAAUGUUCAUUAUUCUAAAAAAUGUUCAAAAAAUCAUAAAAUGUUUGUGAUUUUUCAAACAUGUUUGCAUACCCUUAAAAAUGCUCAAGAUUUUGCAAAAAAUUGUUUGAAAUAAAAAAGUCUAUUAAUUUGAAACAAAUGCUCAUGAAUUGUUAGAAAAUGUUUGCAAAUUUCAAAAAUUCUUUCCAAAUUUCGAAAAAUCAUCUUUUCAAAAAUGGUUCAUGCAUUGAAAAAAAAUGUUCAACAAAACAAAAAUAAUGAUUAGGAAUAUAAGGAAUUGUUCCCAAAUUUUAAAAAUUGUUCACCAAUUCAUACAAUGCUUAUUUGUUUCAAAGACUAUGUUCACAAUUUUGAAAAAUAUUCGCGCAUUUAUAUAAAUUGUUCAUGAAUUCUAAAAAUGUUCAUGAUUUAAAGAAAUAUUCAUGAAUUUUAAAUGGUCGUAUCCCCUAUUGGGCCUGCCCAUAUAAUCUUCUGCUAGUUUAGGUUUUGGGAGCUUCUAGAAGCUUAGUUCUUUUCUUUUGUGGGGAGCUACUUUAGAAGCUUACAUUCAGCUGUUACUAAAAAAAGCUUACAUUCAGCUGGUUUCUACGUUUUUCAGUUGGGGUUUUCUACCAGUUUGUUUGGUUUUUAUAUAUUUAUUAUUAUUAUUUUAAAAACCUUUUUGUUUUUCAUCCUUUCUGAAAAAAAAUCUAGUUUUUCAUUUUGUGAUCAUUUUUCAAAUAUGGGAACAUUUUCAAAUUUGUGAACUCUUCAUGUUCAAUUGUCAAAUGAGCAAACUUUUCCUAUAUUAAGAUAUGCCAACUUUUUUAAAACCGAUAGACUUUUUCAAUCCCGUGAAUUUUUUCUUAAAUUUGUGAACAUUUUUUUGAAUCCACAUACUUUUUCCAAAACCAUGAAUAUUUUCAAAUGCUUGAACUUGAAAUAAAGCAUUGAGUCAAACUCUUCUUUGGUGUGAAGGUGGUAGCUAUGAAUAGGCAUCGACUAUCUGGGAAAGGUAGAAGAAUAGUACCUAUUAUGGGACGUAUAUUGCAUUACAGACAUAUGAUCAUUAGUCAUCAACGAGGUUAUUCUACUCCACUUCUAGAUAGAUAAAAAUCUAAAUGAGAAUAUGUAAUAGUAUGGUGAAGCAUUUAUACAGGACAUCUAUUUCAAACCAUUUUUAAAUUCCCGCUCUUUUUAAUUGACAAAAAACUUAGUAUUUUUUUAAAAAAAUCAUGAACAUUUUUAAAACUCAUAAACAUUUAAAAAUAAAUAAAAACCCCAUUAACUUUUUUAGAAAAGUCAAAGGUCGAACGAUCGAGCGAAUGGGAAGGUGGCAGAGUGAGGGAGCACGCAUUAUUGGCCACCGCCGUGUCACCCCUUUACAACCGUAGUGAUCUCAUAUUUCCUGUUGUUGUGCUCCUACCUCCUGCCUCCUGCCUCCUUCUCUGUAGCGUCAGGCGCCGCCGUGGCAGAGGUCGGCCGUCGCGGUCGUGAGCGUCGCCUCGCCUUGCAAGAAGACAACCCUGGGCUGCGAUGUGGGUCGACUGUGGGAUGCCACUGCCGCCACGAGCGACCGCAUGGUCCGCCGACCGCCACAAGCAGUGGCGUAGCCAGGCUCCGAGCAACAAGGGCCUUGGCCCGGGGCGUGGCAGUAGGUUGUUUUGUUAAUUCUAGAUGAAAUGUUACUGUUUGCUACUAUAGCACUGAAGCUGACCCUGGGCGUGGAGCCAGUCUGCCUACGCCACUGGCCACAAGGAGGGUCAUAUCCACCAGCUGCGAUUCUUCCUCAAGGUUAUUUCGCGCCCUACCGUCAUCUGGCCCACAAGUCUUCAGCAGUAGGGCUGCCUCGGUCAGCCCCAGUUCGUCCACGUGGCCGUGCCGUCAUCAGCCGUCGCCUAGACCAUUGGGCGCCACCAUGAGGUUCGCCUCUUCUGGCUCCGGUUUGUCCGGGGGCCUUGUUUCUGCCGGUUGGCACUAUGGUGUUGUGUCCGCGCCUACGAUGGCGUCCGUCUUCUUUAUUGAUGCUAAGAUAUGUGGUGUUGUGGCGUGCUUGUGGUGCCCAGGACCACAUACCAACGCCUCCACGGGAUGGAAUUUGAGGAUUCUUCUGUCGUCGCCAACGCCUGAUCCAGACACGGCAUUUGGUAGCAAGGAGCAAAUCCAUCGGGAGGAGGCGAUGACCUCUGUACUCGUGGUCAAGGCCCCGACGUGUGUCGGAGCUAAAUCUGACAAUUCCCGUAGUAUGGCUUGUACAACUAUAUCAGAUACGCCUAAGGGGUAGAACUCUCCGUGACUCCAUUUUUUGUCCUGUAAGUCAGCGCAUUGAGCCAUGAUUUUUGUCUACGUGGACCCAAACGAAACGUGCAGCCUCUUCCAAUGCAUUGGUGCUAAGGUGAGGUGCUAAAUGCAUUAAAAAGCUUAGCAACUACUCUUCCCAAUGCAUUGGUGCUUAACUUUUGUAGCUAAACUUUCCUUAUUUAAUAUUUUAACACCAAAACACCUUCAUGCAUUAGUUGAUAGUCAUUUUGCAUAGGACCACGCGUUUAGCAUCGUUUCUCCUAGGGUCACCAUAAGGCUACUUCCAAUGCAUUGGUGCUUACAUGAGGUGCUAAGCACAUUAAAAACUUUCGCAACUAAAGCCUCCAAUGCAUAGGUGCUUAACUUGUUGGUGCUAAGCAUCCUUCAUUUAAUGAUUUCGCAACUAAAGUUCUUCAUGCAUUGGUGGUAUUCUUUCAUUUAAGUGUUUUGUCUAGGUUCUCGCGCUUGGCAUUGUUUAUUCCUGGGUCACCACACUCAUCUCUCUCCUCUUAAUUACCUUGCCACAUCAGACUUUUUGCCUACAUGGCAGCCUUAGCACCUGUACAAGAUGAAGCAUUGAGAGGGGCCUAAUACUCUCUCUUCUCUUUAAUUGCUCCGUCAUAUCACUUUUUUACCUAUGUGACAUCCUUAGACUGGUCACAGUGGGGAGUAACUUAGAGUAGUAACAUGCAUAUGUUACUAGUCUAUGUUACCACCUCCACAGUGGGUAGUAACAUAUGUGUUGUGUUAUGCAUCACUUUAUGUAUUAGGUUGUAGACUCAUCUUUUCUUGAUAUGUGUGAUGUUAUAGUAACUAGUUAUGCUACCACAUGCCACUCUUUCUUCAUUAAUUACAUGCCACAUCAUCUAUUUUGCCUAGAUAAGUGUGAUGUUAUCACCUAUGUUACUUUAACUGUGGCUAGUCUUAGCACCGGUACACCUUGAAACACUGGGAAGGGAGUAACACUGCGAAGAACCACAUUGCAGCUGGACCUUGCAUCCCGUGAGAAUCAGACACCGCGGCACGACCCAGCCUCGGAAUUCGGGACACAACCCGCGGCUUCCCUCGUAAGCCACCGCCCCCUCCCAACCAAUAACUGCGCCCAAGCCCGUCCCCAUCCUCCCCUCCGCAGUUCCAAACCCCUCCACAGCCUCGCUCUCUCACAUUCGCACCCGUGAACCCUCUCCUCUCCUCUCGCUCCUCUCCCUCAACCUUCUUCCAGAAGCCAAGGCCCUCUCUCGGGCCCCACUCCACCGCCGCGGUGACAUGGGGGGAGGCGCUAUGGAGGUGGACCUGACCCACGGCGCGGUGGCGGCGAUGUCGCGGUUCCAGCGAGGCCUGCGCCCGGUGCUGCAGGUGUUGGGCGCCCCUGCCUCGGCGGGCCCCACGGACCGGUACCGCUUCCUGCUCUCCGACGGCGUGCACUCCCAGGAGGGGAUCCUCGUCCCCUCCCUCGACAGCCUCGUCAGGACCGGCCGGCUCUGCGACGGCACCGUCAUACGCGUCCUCGACUACGUCUGCAACUCCGUCUGCAGCCGAAGGUGACGGCCAAUCGCUCUCCCGCCCAACCCCCGGCGAUCUACACUGAUUGUCUCACGAGAUGGAUUAGGGUUUUAAUGUGCUUUAUGCGUGCUAAAUGGGGGGAAAUGCUAGGGUUCUGCACGGUUUUCCUGUGCCGAUUUCCCCCACGCGGUAACUGCGCAAGCAGUAUUCCGCGAGAUCUAUGGCUAUACUUUUGUGGCUGGUGCAUGCACGCUUUCCGCCGGCUUGUAGUUGAUUCCUUGUAUUACUUGCUAAUAAUGCGCAUUUGCUAGUGUUGGUUUUGCUGUGUACAUGACUGAACUUUUUUACAUUUUAAUAGUAAGUUGCAACGGAGUUAUGUAGUCAACAUAUGGCGCCGAUGGGUAGGUGUCCAGUCUAGCUGGUUCAUUUGGUACAACUUGAAUCAGAUAUCACAACCUUGCUUACCAGUUUGGAAGGAAAUAGCUAUCGGGUACUACCAAAACUAGAAGACUGACUUGUGCAUUUGUGAUGUGGCCGUGAGAUCUAGCCUUGUCUAUUUGUAUGGAAACAAAGAUUUAUAUUUAGAGUUCAAAUCAAUUAUUUUGAUGUACAUUAGAGCACACAAACCCUCCAUUAUCAGAUACUCCAUCUGUCUCGUCAUAUAAAACACUCUUAUAUUAUGGGACGGAGGGAGUAUAUGUUUUUGCUGCAUGCAAGGCCACCUGACGGCACAAGUUUAUUGGCUAGAUAGGACUUCCGUUUUCCUGAUCUUAGGCUUCUGCCUGAACGUUUUACCUUUUGUUUCUGUGGUUUAAUGUCCGUGCCACCCAUCGUGAUUGUUUAGCUUUAUACUAUUUUGGAGAACUUUUUUCCAGUAUAAAUGACACGCCUGCCUUUUGGUUUGAGAAUGGCUCAUGUGACAAUGUGAAUACUAGAAUUUUCAUCAUAAAUAUGUCCAUAGUACUAGUAUCAACUAUGUAUAUGCUGUUACAAUAUUACUCCCUCCGUCCCAAAAUAAGUGUCAACUUUAGUACAAAAUUGUACUGAACUUAGUACAAAGUUAAGACACUUAUGUUGGGACGGUGGGAGUACUAGUGCAUUGACUAUAAAAAGCAAUUAAAGUGCCUAUUGGGGACCAUGCCAAUCUGAUUCCUAUUAUGUAUAUAUCCCUAAACCCUAAUAUAUUGCAUCCUUAUACACAAUCUGAUUCGUAUUAUGUAGGCUAUAGACUUCUUAAACAAAAUGUAUCUGCCACAAUAUAGACUAUAGACUUCUUAAACCUUAUGUAUCCACCACUAUAGCUGUUUAAUAUAAUUCUCUCCACCACUCCAACUUGUGUCAGCAAACUAACCUCCCGAUUCAUUUCUUUCUCCCCAUUCUUGUGGGAACUUGCCUUUUGAUUGUUACCAAUGUCUGUUAGUUGUCACCAAGUGGAUUUGUAUGAGUUUCUUUGUCUAGUUAUUGUGACACCUCUAAUAUUACAUGUUGUUUUGAUUUGUUGAGAUUAAUAUGAUGUAUCUACACAUGCAUAACAACACUCCUGUGACAAGGCUCCUCCCUGGCGUGGAAGAGAAGUUUUGAGGCUUAGACAAGUUCUGUUUAUUUCAUGCUUGAUUUUGGUGGAGUACAUGAGUCCCUUCUGUAGGGAGAGAAGACUUGACUUGACCACCAAAAAUAGUGUCUCUACUAUCCUAACAAACUCUUAUCUCUCCUUUUUUUAAAAUUAAACAUAUAUCUUUUCCUAUCGCUUUGACUCUAUCUUUAGUUCUUUAGUAUCUUCUUUGAUUCUGCUGGUUUUUGACUAGGACGUGUGUUACAUAACAAUUGCGUUGGAUGUGCCAUACUUUUAGGCCAUAACAUUACAACCCUUUUUGCUAGACAGCUGGCAUCUGGGGUUCCAUUUCUAGAAGCCACCUUGUUGAGGGGGAGUGAAGUCUGCGUCUAUUGCUGAUGAUCAAAUGAUGUCCAUCCCCAGGAGCCUGAACCUGAAUGGAUCAUUUUUGUACAAGAGCCUGCCCAGGCCCACACUGGUCAUGCCAGGAUAAAGUGCCACUGUGCCACACUCAGGAGAAAGUGGCAUUCCCAAGGAGAAAGUGCAUUCCCAAAGUGACAGCCGAAGCGGUUGACAAAACUCUUACCAAAUCCUGUUCAAAUUUCCUAAUACACUAGAAAUGGUUCCAGACUUCCAGGUCUUCAUGGCCUUUGAAGAGCCCUAGGCGACGAAGUCAUGAAGCCCGCCAUGUCACGACGCUCACUAACUAAGCAUCGUAAACCCUGCUGCUAGCCAUCUGAUACCAAAUGUUAACCUUGAUCCACAACAAGAUACUUUGGGUAGGAUAAUGGUUUGAAGCUCGGGGAUAUGUCACUCGGCCUCUACAAUCUGGUGACAGGGCUCUUCCUGUUGUGGAAGAGAGGCUUUGGGCUUAGGAGACUUCUCUUUUUUUUCCAUUUUAUGUUAGCAGAGUAUAAGGAUCCCUUAUUGGCAAUCUCCACUUACCCAAAUUAUCCUUCUUUUUGCUACGUUCAUAAGUAUAAGAUGUUUUGGAUAUUUCAAUAUGGACUACAUAAAGACUGAAAUGAGUGAACAAACAGACUAAAAUAAGUCUAUAUACAUCCGAAUCGGAAAGAAAGUUAGAACAUCUUAUAUUUGUGAACAAUGGGAGUAUUAAACAUUUCCUACUACAAUAACUUUCUCUUUAGUGUCUUCUAAUCCUACUGGUUUCUUGCUAGGAUGUAUGUUACAUUGUUACUUUUAGCCCAUAACAGUAAAUGGAGUCCUUUCCUUGAAACUUCUCUUCUGGUAGAGCUACUUAUAUAUGCAUUGUCCAUUGACAAUUCUAUAAUAUUUCUGACGUAUAUUGGGUUUUCGUUUCAGGGUCAUCAUCGUUAUCCAACUUGAAAUGGUGCAAACUGACUGCACACUGAUCGGGAGUCCUUCAAGUUAUCAGGUCAAUGCUGCCCAACCAAAUAUCAGAUCCUGUUCUGGUAGCCUAGGCAUCCAUGGGUCAAGGGCUGAGCAAGGUAUUAAUGACAUGGCAUUUUCUCCUGAUCAGACUCUGUUGCGCUCUUCUAUUGCCGCAAGGGCCGAAAAUGCUGUGAACAAUCUGCCGUUCAGUGGACUUCAUGGUUCAGUGCUAAAGCAAAACACAAUAAAUGCCAAGAUGCAGCAGCUUUCACUGAACUCUCAUCAAGGGAAAAUGCCUGCAGUUCGUCCCACUGGUUGGAGCUUUGGCCCUCGCCCUGCAGAGUUUUCGUGUGAGCAGCCACCUCCAGUAUGUGUGAAUAGAGGAUCUGUUCCUAACAAUGGCACUCCUUCUGUCAUCCCUAUCGCUCCUUGAACCCAUACCAAGGUAAAUGGACAAUCAAGGGUAGGGUCACUGCAAAGACUGAUCACUGCCACGGGAGAGCCUUAUCCUUUGAUCUCCUUGAUGCAUAGGGUGGAGAAAUUCGUGCAACAUGCUUUGGUUCGAUGGUUGCCCAGUUCUCUGACCAACUUGUUGUUGGAAAUGUGUAUUUCAUAUCUGGAGGAUUGUUGGAACCAGCACAGAAGUUGUUUAACCAUUUAAACAAUGCGUAUGAACUGAUUUUGGAUAGUUCAACAUCUAUAGAAAUUUGUUCCAGUGACGACAGCGACAUCCCUUGGCAGCAAUAUAAUUUCCAACAUAUCAGUGAAAUAGUAAGUAUGGAAAGUGGAUUCAUGGUUGAUUUGCUUGGGGUUGUUACAUCAGUUAGCCCUUCUGUUAUAAUAAUGCGGAAGGAUGGCACAGAAACCCAGAAAAGAACCCUUCAACUGAAGGACAUGUCUGGUUGUAGUGUGGAAAUAACAUUAUGGGGGAGUGUCUGUAAUGCUGAAGGUCAGCAGCUGCACUCGAUGUGCAUUUCUGGCUCUAAUCCUAUACUUGCCUUGAAAGGUGGCCGCAUCUGUGAAUUCAACGGCAAAACUGUGGGAACAGUCAGCUCAAGCUUGUUAAAAAUAAAUCCAGACUUGCCUGAUGCAGAAAAGCUGAUGCAGUGGUACAUAACUGAAGGGAAAUUAGCGGUUUGCACUUCUUUAUCUCAGGACAUCUCAAGCGUGGGCAAGAUGUAUAUGCGAAAAACAGUUGCGCAGAUCAAGGACGAGAACUUGGGGCGAUCAGAUCAGCCAGAUUGGGUCACUGUUGAAGCUACAAUUUCACACAUCAAAACUGAGAAAUUUUCUUAUCCAGCUUGCACAAGGGAGGUUAAUGGUAAGCGCUGCAACAGAAAGGUAACAAAUAAUGGUGAUGGGAUGUGGCAUUGUCCCAAAUGCCAGCAGAGCUCUCAAAAUUGUGAGUACCGACACUUGUUUCAGUGUAAGAUCCAGGAUCACACUGGGACUACCAAUGCUACUGCAUUCCAAGAAGCUGGCCAGGAAAUAAUUGGCAUCUCAGCGGAAGAGCUUUUCAUGAUUAAAAAUGUAGAUCUAGAUGACGCACGAUUUGCAGAAAUAAUACAUGGUGCCUGUUAUCAGCAAUUUCUGUUGAAGCUGAAAGUCAUGGAAGAAACCUUCGGUGAUGAACCGCGCGUGGAAGUCAGCAUCAUGAAGGCUGAAAGAUUGGACCACACAUCAAACAAGAGUCGUAUUUUUGAUCUUGGAGCAUUCGAUGGCCUUUGGGCGGAUGGCCAAGGCUCAGCACCUGGUGUGAAUGGUGUUGCUACUGCUGUGAAUGCUGGUUUCACCAACUCAGAUGCCGGACGGCAAGCUAAGGUAUCUGGCGGGAUGCCUAAUGCAGCACCAUCAGCAGCACGAUAUGCCUGCAGUACAUGUGGCUCCACUGGGCACAACGUGCAGAACUGCCCUGCAGCCAUGGAUAUCCAGCUAGCAGCAACAGGUUGGGGCUUCACGCCGAGUUCAUAUGGCUCUUCUGCAUCCGAUGCUCGCCUGUGCUGCAAGUGCAAUCAGCUUGGGCACUGGGCUAGAGACUGUCCAGGGCAGGCCACCUCGUACGGCUCUUCUGCAUCCAAAGCUCAGCUGUGCUGCAAAUGCAAUCAGCCUGGGCACUGGGCUAGAGACUGUCCGGUGUAGGCCGCCUCGCAUGGCUCUUCAGCUGGAAACGACAACGGCAGCCUUGGUUUCUGCUUCAGAUGUAAUCAGUUUGGGCACUGUCCUAGUGACUGCCCAGCUCCCUACUCUUUUGCAGGUGCUAACGGCGGCGCGGGUGGUGUGGGCUUCAAAAAUAAUCAGCCUGUGCACCUUGCUGGACUGUCCAGCUCAGGCUAGUGCCCCUCCAGCGGCGGGCUUGUGGGAACGGUGCUGCGCCGCAUCAGGAGGAUGCCUAUGUUGGUAAUGUCUGAAGUACUCUGCCCAUCAUGUAGCAUCUUGAUUUGGCUUAGUUGCGUGUUUUGUACAGUAUGUUAAAUCUACCUGCUCUGUGGCUUGCUAUCGUUGUUCACUUGCUACGUACAUAUGUAUGGACCUUGUAUUAGCGCUUUAUUAAGCUUUAUAUAAUCAACGUAUGUUAAGUAGCAUGUCGUUGCAUUUCUGGUAUUUUGCGGUGCGAUUUGCUUGUUAUAUGCCUCUAUUCAGUGCAGAUCUCAGCCCACCGUUUACAAGUAGGCUAAGUCAGUUCAAUGUUCUGAUUAUUAGACCUCUUUGUAGCAUUGCAUAUUUUCUGUUGGACCGGUUGUUAUUUGGGUGAUGCAUCAUCGGCACAUGCCGGAGAGAGUCACCGUGCCACUGGAGUGUGCAUUGCAAGUCGGAUCCAUGGUCCAACGGCAUUGCAGUUGUAGUGGCCGCUCAAUCCUCCAAUCCUCCCACGGACCCACGGAAGAACCUACAGCAUGCCGAAGACGAGAUCCUGAUCCUCUGCCUCUCGUGGAACUCACAGCAUGCUGAAGACGAACCCGUGGAGGAACCAGACCAGCUCGCCAUGUUGGCACGGCACGAGCAUCGCAACGGUGCGUCGAAGCAUGGCACGCAGCAGUCCUGCCAGGACGGAGCUCGUCUACUCGCUCGCCGCCUGCUACUACUGCUCCGAGGAGGACAUCCAACUGCAGGUGAUGGAGGGGAACAAGGAGCUCGAUGGCGAAAAAGGCUACCACUACAGAUACGGCGCGUGGCGGCGGUUGGACCGUUGCGCUGUUGAGCUCGGAUUGAUGUACAUCUGCGGGUGAUCGGUCACCCCUUGUUUUUCCACGUCCAAAGCAGUCCUCCUCAUAUCCCUCCUUCAAAUCCAUACAAGCCAUAUAACGUGGUAAGCACUAUGUAGAUCAACAUAGCAACAUAGGAAUAUAGCAUCAUAUCAUACAUACAUAGGGUAUUAAAAUUUUGCACAAUCAUACGCCAAAAAGCAAGUUCAUCCACUUGGAUAUAGUAUAGAUUAACUAAAAUGCUAGCUAGAUCGACUAAUUAAAUGAAGAUGGGCGGGAAAAAAAAUCCUAUGAGACCAGGUCGCCAGCUCGUGAGACCCACCUCGGUGGAUGACACUUGAUAUUGACAAUCUCAAAGUACGUAAUCCCACUUUGCCCAAUUACCCAUUCCUGAUUUCAAUUCCCCAUUCCUGAUUUCAAUUCCCGAUUCCAAUCAUGUACAGGGAUACCUACGUAACUCUCACCCCACCAGCUAGAGUGCGCGUGCUGCUCUCAUCAAUGGCGGCGCCGGAUAACCUUGUCGCCGGCGGCCUGAACCACGCGACCAAGACCUGUCGGCCAUGGCCACGCCGAAUGUACUUGUACUCAUCGCUAGCGACCGCGUGCCCCCAUGCUACCAUGACACCCCAUCCAUGGUCGUGCCAGACGAUCGCGACGCAGGUGGUCAUGUGGCACAAUGUUACAUUGACUUCUCGUCCAUGGGUGUGCAGAACGACCUCGUCCCCGGUAGACACGCAAUGUGACGCCGGAUUCGUCCACGACGGCGGAGUCCCGGCCGGUGGUUCCAGUGUCAGCUAGCCCUCAUGUUCGUCUACGACUCUUCCUCUCCCGGUGUGUGAUCCAUGCAAAGCUAGGCUGGUUGAAUGAUUACAGUAGCGAAAAUGCUACACUUACAGUAGUCCGCUGCUUACACCAAUGGUAAAGUGAAGAUUAUUGAAUUCUGAAUAUGUUUUAGGGCCUCGAAGGGCUGUUUAUAUAAGAUACAAAACUUGGGGGCCAAGGAUAGUAGAGAUAGAUUACAACUUGAACUACCAAAUAUACAAACCGAAUAUAUACUCUAAUACCCCCCGCAGUGUCAACAUCAGGUGUAACGAUGUUGAGACUGGAGCGAAUGCCAGUGAAUGCUACAGUGGGGAGCCCCUUGGUGAAAAUAUCAGCAAAUUGCACAGUUGUAGGAACAUGAAGCACAUGGACGUCGCCAAGAGCCACUUUUUAACGAACAAAAUGAAUAUCAAUCUCGAUGUGUUUUGUGCGGCGAUUCUGAACCGGAUUGGACGCCAUGUAGACUGCAGAAAUCUUGUCACAAUAAACAAUAGUUGCACGCUCGAUUGGUCGAUGGAGCUCAACCAGAAGCUGACGGAGCCACACUGCCUCGGCCACAGAAUGAGCAACAGACCGAUAUUCAGCUUCUGCAGAAGAUCUGGAAACUGUAACCUGCCUUUUAGAAGACUAAGAAACAAGAUUGUCACCCAAAUAAACACAAAAUCCGGAUGUAGAUCAUCGAGUAUCUGGACAACCCGCCCAGUCUGCAUCAGAAUAAACUGUCAAGGUUGUUGGAGAGGAAGAGUUAAGAAGAAGACCAUGAUCAAUAGUACCUUUGAGAUACCGAAGUAUUCUCUUGACAUGAGAAAAAUGAGGAACACGGGGAUCAUGCAUAUAUAAGCACGCUUGUUGAACAGAAUAAGAUAUAUCAGGAUGAGUGAGAGUGGCAUAUUGGAGAGCACCAGUCAUACUGCGAUAUAGAGUAGGAUCAGAAAAAGGGUCACCGUCGGCCGACAACUUGGUACCAACGUCGACCGGCGUACGACAGGGUUGACAGUCAGUCAUCCCCGCACGAGAGAGCAAGUCAAGAAGGUACUGCCGUUGAGAGAGAAAGAGUGUAGAUGAAGUGCGGGAGACAGUGAUCCCAAGAAAGUGAUGAAGAGGACCAAGAUCAGUCAUGGAAAUUCACGAUUAAGAGAAGAGAUAAUAUGUUGUAAAAAGGAAUCAGAAGAGGCAGUGAGAAUUAUAUCGUCAACAUAUAGGAGAAGAUAUGCAGUAUGAGAGGAGGAACGAAAAAUAAAGAGAGAGGAAUCGAAUUUAGAUGGGGUAAAACCUAAUGUGUCAAUAAAGGUGGUGAAGCGAUGAAACCAAGCACGAGGAGCUUGUUUAGGACCGUACAGAGAUUUGUGAAGAAGACAAACAAAAUCAGGAGAAGAGGAAUUCUCAAAACCUGAAGGUUGUUGACAAUAGAAAGUUUCAUUGAGAGUGCCAUGUAGGAAAGCAUUUUUAACAUUUAAUUGAUGAAUCGGCCAAGAGGAGGAGACAGCAAGACUGAGAACAACACGAAUGGUACUAGGUUUUACAACCGGAGAGAAGGUCUCAUCAAAAUCAACACCGUGUUGCUGAGAAAAACCACGACAUACCCAACGAGCUUUAUAACGAGCAAGAGUACCAUCAGCAUGAAAUUUGUGACGGAAAACCCAUUUGCCGGAAACAACAUUGACACCGGGUGGUUUGGGAACGAGAGUCCAGGUGUUAUUUUGUUGAAGAGCAUGAAACUCAUCACGCAUAGCAGAAUGCCAGAGAGGAUCGAGAAGAGCACGUUUAUAAGAGGUAGGAAUAGGGGAGACAGUGGGAAUGGCCGUGAGAUUAAGACGUCGUGUAAGCACGCUUACCACGAGUGCACAUGACAUGAUCGUUGGCCGGAGGUAUUAUAGGAACAGCAUUGGACGGAAGAGGCGGUGUGGAGGAAGAAGAGGAAGAAGGAGAAGCGACAACAGGGGAGAUAGGCAUGGGAGGAGAGGUAGCUGCCGUCAAGGGAGGAGUGGGGGGCGCGGAAGGCUGUGGUGAAGGAGGGGUGGGCGGCGCGGAAGGCUGCUGUGGAGUUAUGGGAGGCUGCUGUGGUGGCUGUUGCUCCGCAGCAAUAGAGGUAGGAGUUAGACGAGGGAGGAGAGAAGAUGAAGAAUGGACAGGGGAUGGUUGGGGCGUAGGUGAUGAUUUUGUGGCAGCGUAGGGAAAAGUGUGCGUCAAAGACGACGUGACGGGAAAUAAUGACACGACCGGAUGAGGGAUCGAAGCAACGAGAGCCCUUAUGAUCAUCGGAGAGACCAAGAUAGAUGCAGGGUAAAGAUCGAGGUUCUAGUUUAUGAGAGGUCGUAGAAGUGAUGUUGGGAAAACAGAGACAACCAAAAACGUGGAGAGAAAGAUAGUCGGGAUGUGAAAGAAAGAGGGAUUGAAAAGGAGUGUAGAGAGGACAUGUUUUGGUUGGUCUAAUAUUUAGAAGAAGUGUGGCAGUACGUAGUGCUUCAACAAAAAAUGGGGAGGAAGAGAAGCUUGAAUAAGCAAGGUGCGAAGAAUAUCAUUGAUGGAGCGAAGAGAGCGUUCUGCUUUACCGUUUUGAGGGGAUGUAUAGGGGCAAGAAAAGCGAAGGAGUAUGCCAAGAGAAAGAAAGAAAGUGCGAUUGUGAGUUUUAUCAAAUUCACGUCCAUUGUCACAUUGAAUAAAGUGUAUUGGAAGACCAAAGUGGUUUAGAACAUAUUGACGAAAAUUGAGAAAAAAUGGGUGUACGUCGGACUUGGCUCGGAGAGGAAAGGUCCAAACAUAAUGGGAAUAAUCAUCAAGAAUUACAAGAUAGUAUUUAUAACCAGAAACACUAGGAAUUGGAGAGGUCCAUAGAUCACAAUGUAGUAAUUCAAAAGGAAAAGUACUAAUAGUAGAGGAGGUACCAAAUGGUAGUCUAACAUGUUUGCCACAUUGACAUGCAUUACAAAGAGAGGAAUCAUGAGAGACACUAGAACUAGGGAUACAAAAUUCCUGUAAUAAUGAUGAUAGUGUAGCUUUAUUAGGAUGACCAAGCCGACGAUGCCAUAGAUCAACUGAUGCAAGCAUGGCGCGAGGAGUGGAAGUGGGGGCGCCAUGAAGAGGAUAAAGAUCGCCUGUGCUAUUGUACCGAGCUAGAACCUCCCCCGUUUUCAGAUCCUUCACAGAUAAACCAAAGGGGUCAAAGGUAAGAAUAACUUGAUUAUCGAUGGUAAACUGACGAACGGAGAUAAGAUUAGCAAUUAAAGAUGGGACUACAAGAAAGUUACAUAAAAGAAAAUUGUUAGAAGAAUAGGGGAUGUAAGAGUCACCGGUGCAAGAGACAAGAAUAGUGGAACCAUCACCGAUGGUAAUGGAAGAAAAAGAAGAAGGAAAACAAGCUGACAAAAAAUUCAUAUUUGAAGACAUAUGCGUGGAUGCACCAGAAUCGAAUAUCCAAUCCGUACCGUCGUUGUUGAGGGUGAAAUUGUUCAUGGCGGCGAUGAAGGCAGCCUGAUCCCAGCUUGGCGAUGUUGUCGAAGGAGAGGGGGCAGGCACGUUCAUUGGUGCAUGCUGACCGUAUGCGUACGGUGACGGGGUCGAAGGAGCACCUAGCGCAUAGGGAACCAGGGUGUAGCCGGGCGGAAGCACGGGGGCGCCGGGCGGGGUCGGUAUAGUAGUGGCGGUGUAGACGUGAGCCGGCGGUCGGGGUCCGAGGAGACCAGGAGAGCCGGUGGCAGGACGAUGGCCCGGGCUCCAGGAUCUCGUGUAUGCUGGAGGAGCGCCGUAAGGAGACGGAGCAGACCAAGGCAUGGGCCAUGCCUGAACCAGCCCGGUCUAGGGAUCUUGCUGCGGGUGACAUGCCGGUGGAGUAGAUGCCGGUGUAGACGAUGAUGAUGACGCUGAAGAGCUGGCGGAGCGAGGCUGGGGCGGCCGAUAGACGGGAUUCUUCCCGCGGUAGUUAGGGCUCGGGCGCCAGCCUAGAGGCGGCUGGGCAGGUGCCGGCGACAGAGUGGAUGGAGCUGGCGCCGAAGACUUGGUGGUGGCGUGAAACACUUGCGGGCGAGUAGCCUUGCGAGCUUGGUUCUGAGCCUCGAGCUGAAGGAGAGAGCGGACCUCGCCGAAGGAAGGGUAGGGCCGCAACAUGGGGAUGAAGGCCACCUGUUUCUCAAACUGCUCACCGAGGCCGACGAGAAGAGCGUUUAUGAGGACGCGGUCGUCGACGUGAUCACCAAGCUGCCGUAGUUCAUCACCGAUCGACUUGAUCCGCUGGCAGAAGACGGUGACCGGGGAGUCUCCUUGGGUGAUGGUGCGGAGCUCGGUGUGGAGAGCGUUGAUGCGGGCGUCUGAGUUGUCUUGAAACAACUGUUGAAGAGAGGCCCAAAGCUCGGCUGUGGUGGCAUCGUCGUUGGAGACAAGAUUGAAGAGCUCGGUUGAGAUCCGAGUAUAAAUCCAUUGGAUGAUCGUGAGAUCGUCCUUCACCCAACGCGGAUUGGCAGGCUGCGGGACAGAGGAUGGAUGUAUAUGGUGGCGUAGACUGCAGCGACCAAGGUGGAUGUGGAAGAGAUGGCGCCAGUGGUAGUAAUUGUGGGCAGCGAGAUCAAGCGAGAUGGGUAUGAACGACGCAACAUCAGCAAUUGUAUCUGCUAGAGAGAUUUGUGGUGGCGGAAGGGUGUAUUGGUGGUGGGUAAGAGAACUAGGGUUGGAGGAGGAAGAAGAGACGGAUGGCGAUCUGGCGGCGUUGGACUUAGCCGCGGUAAAGAGAGGCCGCGCCGGGAGAGGUGGAGGGGCCGGCGGAGAGGCCAUGUCGAGGAGAUAACCUAGGCGACGGAUACCAUGAAGAUUAUUGAAUUCUGAAUAUGUAUUAGGGCCUCGAAGGGCUGUUUAUAUAAGAUACAAAACUUGGGGGCCAAGGAUAGUAGAGAUAGAUUACAACUUGAACUACCAAAUAUACAAACCGAAUAUAUACUCUAAUAUAAAGACAUCGCCGCGCGCAAGACAUUGUCGACGCGGCUGGACAAACUCCUCCUCGACGGCGGCCAUGCGCCAAACUACUCCGUGUUGCGGCACUCGCUCACGCCCAGCCAACAAGGAGUUGUCAUUUAGAUAUCGGCUGUCCGGCACCCUUGCAGCUGGAAAUAAACAUGUUAGUGACGAGCAGCUGCAUUUGUCCUGGCGCCCGGCCGGCGUCGAGGAGGAGUUAGUCGGCCGCCGGUGAGGAUGUUUUGGCACCUGUACACCAUCAACACGGAGUCGUCUUUUAGUGUAGCCGCCGUCGACGACGAUCGGCAUCUUGGUGUGUGAUCAUGAUGAACGUAAAGUCCACCCAGCUAGCAACGCCGUCGGCGAGGCUCGCGUGGAUGCCGGUGACCAGAUCAUUCGGCACGGCCAUGGACGAGAAGUCAAUAAUGCUUCAUUCCAUGCGGCCACCGACGACGAGGUCCUUUGGCUUGGCCGUAAUGAACGAGAACAAACAAACCCUAAAUCGUAAAUCGUUCUGUAAUUGUGUACGUACAUGUUCGAGCAUACGAAUUGCAAUCGGGAAUAGCAGUCGGAUUGAAAAUUAAUCGUGAAUAGCGGUUGGGAUGCUUUGAGAUUGUCAGUGCCAAGUGUCAUCCAUCAAGGUGAGUCUCACGUGGUGGCUUGUGAGACCUGGUCUCAUAAGACACUUCCAACUCAAGUUUUUCUUCAAAAGAUUUCAUCAUAUCAUCAACGAUAUGUUUAGUAAAAGCUUUAUUUGGACCAUAAAUAUGAGGAGAGUUCAACAUGGAUGCAACAAGUAAAUAUAAUCUAUCAAAGGACGAUUAUCAUAAUUAAAGUCCUUAUAAUUCAAAAGAGUGGGUUUAUUGCUACUUAAAGUUUUGACCUCUCCAAUCCCAUUUUUAUCAAUUUUUGCAUCAAGAUCUAUAAACUCUGAAUCAUUGAGAUGCCUUUUAACUAAAGUUGACUCAUCUCCAGUACCAUCUUUAUCAAGAUUUAUAUUAAAAAACAAAGAUUCAAUAGGAGUCACAUCAAUCACUUUAAGAUCAUCAUUAUUUUCACGAGAAAAAUCGAAGAACACGCUUUUACAAACUAAUCUUGCUUAGCACACACCCUAGCUGUUCUUUCUUUACAUUUAUCAAUAGAAAUUCGCAUAGCUUUUAGAGACUCAUUAAUAUCAUGCUUGGGUGGAAUAUAUCUAAUUUUCAAAGAAUCAAUCUCAAGCGAAAUUCUAUCAACGUUCCUAACCAAAUCAUCAAUCUUGAGCAAUUCUCUUCAACCAUAGCAUUGAAAACUUUUUGGGAACUAAUAAAUUCUUUAAUAUUGUUCUCAAGAUCAGUAGGUACUUUAUUAUAAUUUCCAUAAGAAUUGUUGUAGGAAUUACCAUAACUAUUAGAGGAAUUACCAUAACUAUUAGAGGAAUUACUAGGAAACGGCCUAGGGUUGAAAUUACCUCUAUACGCGUUAUUACAAAAAUUGUUCCUACCAACAAAAUUCACAUCCAUAGAUUCAUUAUUAUUUCCAAUUAAAGAAGACAAAGUCAUAUCAUUAGGAUCAAUAGGAGCACUCUUACUAGCAAAUAAUUUCAUUAAUUCAUCCAUCUUUCCACUCAAAGUAUUUAUUUCUUCAAUUGCAUGCACCUUUUUACUAGUGGAAGAUCUUCCGGUAUGCCAUUGAGAGUAAUUUGCCAUAAUAUUAUCUAGGAGUUUAGUAGCUUCGCCUAAUGUGAUUUCCAUAAAAGUACCAUGCGCGGUGGAAUCUAAAAGAUUUCUAGAUGCAAAAUUCAAUCCCGCAUAUUUUUUUUGUAUAAUCAUCCAUAAACUCAAACCAUGCGUAGGACAAUUUCUUAUCAUCAAUUUCAUCCUCUCCCGAGAUUGUGCAACAUGCUCAUGAUCAAGUUGCUUAAAAUUAAUUAUAUCGUUCCUAAGGGCGAUGAUCUUAGCGGGCGGAAAGUACUUGGAAAUAAAAACAUCUUUAAACUGAUUCCAUGAAUCAAUACUAUUUCCAGGCAAAGAUGAAAACCAAGUUUUAGCACGGUCUCGUAGUGAGAAUGGAAAUAGUUUCAAUUUAACAAUAUCAUUAUCCACAUCUUUUUUCUUUUGCAUAUCACACAGUAUCAACGAAAGUAUUUAGAUGGGAUGUAGCAUCUUCACUAGGAAGGCCGGAAAAUUGUUCUUUUAUAACAAGAUUCAGCAAAGCGGCAUUAAUUUCAUAAGAUUCCGCACUAGUGGCGGGAGCAAUCGGAGUACUAAUAAAAUCAUUAUUAUUAGUAUUGGAAAAGUCACACAACUUGCUCUUGAGACAUCGUGACAAAGCAAGCAAUCUAACACAUGAGCAAACAAAAAGCAAAUGGAAAGAUGAACGAAAGAAGGGCGAAAAAAGGCAAAUAUUUUUGUAUUUUUCUGAAGACGUUUUAGAAGUGGGGGAGAGGAAAAUGAGAGGCAAAUGGCAAAUAAUGUAAUGCAAGAGAUAAGAGUUUAUGAUGGGUACUUGGUAGGCUUGAUGUAGACCUCCCCGGCAACGGCGCCAGAAUUUCUUCAUGCUACUUCUUGAGCUUGCGUUGGUUUUUCCCUUGAAGAGAAAAGGGUGAUGCAGCAAAGUAGAGAUAAGUAUUUCCCUCAGUAAGAGAACCAAGGUAUCAAUCCAGUAGGAGGUACAAUCAAGUCUCCAAUCUAUGCACCUACACAAACAAUCAAACACUUGCACCCAACGUGAUAAAGGGGUUGUCAAUCCCUUCACGGUCAAUUGCAAUGGUGAGAUCUGAUAGAGAUAGAUAUAAAAGAUUACUAAAACGUAAAAUAAAGUAAAUAUAAAUAAAGUGCAGCAAGGUAUUUUUGGUAUAUAGAUCUAAAAAUAUAAUAUGGUAAAUAGACCCGGGGGCCAUAGGUUUCACUAGAGGCUUCUCUCUUGAAGGAAAAUACUACGGUGGGUAAACAAAUUACUAUCAAGCAAUUGAUAGAAAAGUGCAAAGUUAUGACGAUAUCCAAGGCAAUGGUUAUGCAUAUAUGCAUCAUGUCCACGUCAAGUAGACUGAAACGAUUCUACAUCUACUACUAUUACUCCACACAUCGGCCGCUAUCCAGCAUGCAUCUAGAGUAUUUAGUUCAUAAAGAACGGAGUAACGUCUUAACUAAGAUGACAUGAUGUAGAAGGAUAAACUCAAGCAAUAUGAUGAAAACCCCACAUUUUUAUCCUCUAUGGCAAUAAUGCAAUACAUGUCUCGCUACCCCUACUAUGUCACUCGGUGAAAUCACGCAAGAUUGAACCCAAAGCUAAGCACCUCUCCCAUUGCAAGAAAAACCAAUCUAGUUGGCCAAACCAAACCAAUAAUUCAAAGAGAAAUACAAAGAUAUCAAAUAAUGCAUAUAAGAAUUGAGAGAAGAUUCAAAUAAUAUUCAUAGAUAAGCUGAUCAUAAAUCCACAAUUCAUUGGAUCUCGACAAACACACCACAAAACAAGAUUACAUCGGAUAGAUCUCCAAGAACAUCGAGGAGAACAUGGUAUUGAGAAUAAAAGAGAGAGAAGAAGCCAUCUAGCUACUAGCUAUGGACCCGUAGGUCUAUGGUAAACUACUCACGCUUCAUCGGAAGAGCAAUAGGGUUGAUGUAGAUGCCCUCUGUGAUCGAUUCCCCCUCCGACAGAUUGCCGGAAAAGGCCCCAAGAUGGGAUCUCACGGGUACAGAGGCUUGCGGUGGCGGAAAAGUAUUUUCGUGGACUCCUCUGAUGGUUGUGGAAUAUUUGGGAAUUUAUAGGCCAAAGAAUAGGGUUAGAGGGACUCCGAGGGACCCACAAGGCAGGGGGCGCCCCCCUGGGGCGCACCCUCCACCCUUGCCGUCGCCUCGGGACUCCUUUGACUUGGUUCUCAAGUCCUACGGGUGUCUUCUGGUCCAAGAAAAAUCAUCGUAAAGUUUUAUUCCAUUUGGACUCUGUUUGAUAUUCCUUUUUCGCGGAACUCAAAAGCAAGGAAAAAACAGAAACUGGCAUUGGGCUCUGGGUUAAUAGCUUAGUCCCAAAAAUAAUAUAAAAUGGGAUAAUUAGAUUUAUGCCCCUAGUUGUGUCCCACUCGUCUGUUUUACCCCUAAUUCCCAAAAGUCACCGGUUCCGUCCAAGUCACUUUGAUUCUCUUAUGCUUUUGCCCUUUGACCGUUUGACCGUCAGUUUAAAAACUUCAUAACUAAUUCAUACAAAAUCAAAAAAAUGCAAAUCAGAUACCAAAAUGUUCAGAAAAACAUCACCUAUAUGUCAGUGUCACUUGCAUUCAUGAAAAAAGUGUUGGAAAGUGCACAUCCUAGUUUUAGCUCUUUUGAUACCACCAUGAACAGUAAACUCUAAAAAAAUUCAAAAAAAUAAAAUAAAAAUAUGGUGGCAAAGAAUGACAAGUGUUGUAAGUGCUUGCCAAGUUUCAUUAGGGAACGAUAUUCGUGGAAGUCGUGGCAAAAAAAUAAUCUAUUUUGGAGUGCUGAGUUUUUUUUUGCCGCGGCACCCACGAAUGUCAUUCCCUAAUGAAACUUGGGAGGCACUUAAAACAUUUGUCAUUCUUUGCCACCAAAUUAUUUUUGAAUUUUUUUGAACUUUUUAGAUUUUACUAUUCAUGGUGGUAGCAUAAGAGCUAAAACUCGGAUGGGCACUUUCCAACACUUUUUUCAUGAAUGCAAAUGACACUAACAUAUAGGUGAUGUUUUUCUGAACAUUUUGUUAUCUUAUUUGCAUUUUUCUGAUUUAGUAUGAAUUAGUUAUGAAGUUUUCAAACUGACGGUCAAACGGUCAAAGGGAAAAAGCAUAAGAGGAGCAAAGUGAUUUGGACAGAACCGGUGACUUUUGGGAAUUAGGGGUAAAACAGAUGAGUGGGACACAACUAGGGGCAUAAAUCUAAUUAUCCCAUAUAAAAUAGCAUAUUAGUGCAUAUAAAACAUCCAAAAUAAAUAAUAUAAUAGCAUGACACAAUCAAAAAUUAUAGAUACGUUGGAGACGUAUCACAAGCCUACCGCACGGGAAGGACGCGGUGUCGCCGAAGCCAGCCGCGAAGCGCGCGGCAGAGGGACCGGCCGCGCCUGGCAAGACGGCCGCCAAGAGGGCGCGCCACGUCAUCCAGUCCGCGACAGCAAGGCAGGCCAUCCCGACGGUUAUGGGGUUCCCGCGGACUAGGCGGCCAUGGAACAGGCCUGGCUGGAGAUGCCGGAGGGCAUGGAGCCGGCGGAGACGGUCGUCGAGCCGUCGGCGAAGGAGGGGCGUGACCCAGACCGGGCAGAGAAGGCGGUUGACGACCGGGAGGUCAUGGAGAUCGGUGAUGACACCCCACCCCGGACCGACGUGGUCGAGCGGGUAGAGGCCGGAGGAGGCAGAGGGGCAAGGGAACCCAUCCUGGAAGGAGCACCGCGGGCGACGCCGAACGGAGCGCCACAGGUGACGCCAGACGGGGCACCGCAGGUGACGCCGGACGGGGCAUUGCAGGUGACGCCGGCAAGAGCGCCGGAGUCGACGCCGGCCGCGGAGGAGCCGAAGAGCGGUGAGCACGCCUUGGUGGUCAGGCAGCCGCAGGAAGCGCCGGGAAGCCACCCUGCCACCGGGUCGCCGCAAGCCCGGGCCGGGUCCAGCGGAGCCAUCAUCGGCUCACACACGCAGGAGGAGGCGGCGAUGGAUUUCGUGCACGGGCAUCUUCGCGGACGUGUGGACCGGGUUCAUGCCUUUGCCCAGAGCGAUCUGGAGCGGGCGCGCGAGAUGGAACGCUCCGCAAUCAUAAGUUUUCUUGCUAGUCUUGGUUUUCCUUUGCAGCUAGUCAGUGGGGGCGCGCUAGCUCACUCACUUGGUGUAGCCCCCGAGAUUUGGGCCAACUACGUUGUAGUUGGGUCGAAUCUAAAAGAUGUCUUUGUAGUUUGCAUUGAUCCUCGCUUUCUUGCAACACCUGGACAACCUUCGAGUCGGCAUCCAUAACCGGCUUUUGGAGAGACACCGCCAGGUCUCGGCCCAGCUUGCCGCUGCGGGGGAGUCGCUUCGUCUUGCCAAAGGUAUGUCUUGCAUGCUCCUAGUGGGGGCGCGCUAGGGCACCCAGUGGGUGUAGCCUCCGAGAUUUGGGCCAACUAUGUAGUAGUUGGGUCAAAUCUUAAAGGUGUCUUUCUUUCUUCCUUCCGGCAUCUGACUUGAAAUCUUGCCGCGAGCCACCGCGGCCGAGGUGUCGGACCUGCGAACCCGGCUGAUCGAAGCUGGCCAGCAGCACGACCAGGCGGUCGCCGAUGUCGGCCAGCUCCGGGCUGAGGUGGAGCAGCUGAAGGCGGAGGCCGCCAAGGCGGCGGAGGCCCACCAGACGCUUGCCGAAGCCGACCAGCAGCCUGACCAGCUGGCUGGUGACAAGAGCCAGCUCCAGCCGAAGUGGAGUGGCUGAAGGCAGAGGCUGCCAAGACGGCAGAGGUCCACCAGGUGGAGCUCGCCCAGCUAAGGGACGAGCGCGGGAAGGCAGCCGCCGCCAAGGACGACGGGCUAAAGGCAGCCGUCGAUAAAUGUGCAGAGCAUGAGGAGGCGCUCGAAGCCCGUGGCCGCGCCGGAGACUUGGAGCGGCACGGUAUGUUGUGAAAGGUGCAACACCUGGAUGAGGUCUUCGCAAGUAAGUAAUUCUUCGCCUGUCAUGCCGGGCCGGUUGCAAGCCGGCCUACCCUUUACAUGGCUGACCAUUUUCCUCGUUCAUUUGCCAGCGUACUUCCCGGAGAGGCAGGACACGGCGGACGAGGCCGUGCUCACCCACCGGUCGACCCCAGCGGGCGCGGGUGCCAAAGUCGAUCCGCACGCCGCGAGGAGUUUCCCGGAGAUCAUGCAUGCCACCGAGUCCCACCUGAAGGCCCUCGAUGUGCAGACAGCAAGGCUCUCCGUCGCCGGGGUGGGCAUGGCGGUGGCCCUCUGGCCAGGUGUGGUUGCGCCCAACUCCUUCACGUGGCUGGCACGCUGGCCGAAAGCCGCACCGGCACGGCUCCACGCAUGGCGUGUCUCCACGGCAUGCGCCGGUGUGGACUUGGCGUUGCGGUUUGUCAUGUCUUGGUAUCUAGGCCUAGACCUGAACCAGCUGGCAGCCCAGCGAGCCAUCGCAGAGGCCCAGUUAGAGGCGGAGGCGGGCCGGAUUGCCGCACGGGCCAGCUACCUUGCCUCAUUUGCUUCGCAUGACGAGUUCCAGGUGGAGCGGACCGAAGACGGCGUGGAGGUGCCGCCCGACAACUUCGGCCUGGCGCUUGACGACCCAGCGGGCAGCUCCGAGGAGUCGGGCCCUUACGCGGUGUUGGGGAACGCAGUAUUUCAAAUUUUUUCCUACGAUCAUGCAAGAUCUAUCUAGGAAAUGCAUAGCAACGAGAGGGGAGAGUGUGUCUACGUACCCUGGUAGACCGAAAGCGGAAGCGAUAUGACAACGCGGUUGAUGUAGUCGUACGUCUUCACGAUCUGACCGAUCCAAGCAUCGAACCCCCUCGCCGGCAUCGACGGGGGAGGAUAAGGACCCCCGCCCCCUCGGGCUCCUCCCUCCCUGCUCCACCCACUCGCCCACUUGCCCCCUCUCGGCCUCAUCAGCACCCGAGAUAUUUCCCCAUCGCUUGUUGCCCUCUCCCUCGUGCGCUCUCUCCUCCCAGAACACUGCCGUCGCCGUGCACUCCGAGAUCCCGUGGCCACCAGUGUUUCCUCGCCCGUGGCUCGUGUCCAUGAGCUUCGCCUCGCUUGCCUCCGUCAAGUUGGCGCUCUGCUUCGUCUCGGGGAGUAGCGCAUCGACCUCAUCGUCUUUGUCAACGGCCGCGGCCACCGGAACCUCGCCGUCGAUCUUCUCCAACGCCGGCCACCACGAGCCCUCCCCGAGCCCACUCGUGGACACCUGCAGGACCACGAUGAGCCCGCGGUCAUCCCCCCUCGCUCGCUAGCUCGAUCCCGCGCCCGUAGCUUCCCCCUCAUCGUGCCCGAGCUCGUUGCCGUGGUGGUACUCGCUGCCGUGUCCACGACUCGCGUAGCUCGUUCCCGACCACCCCGUCAUGCUCAGCGGCUCUGCCCGCUACCAGGCCCUUCGGCUCCCGCUGCUUCUGCCUCCACCGCUGUCUACAGCUGCUUGUCCCACGCCCACCCGCGUGUGUGCCGUCCGCAGCUUGGUUGNNNNNNNNNNNNNNNNNNNNNNNNNNNNNNNNNNNNNNNNNNNNNNNNNNNNNNNNNNNNNNNNNNNNNNNNNNNNNNNNNNNNNNNNNNNNNNNNNNNNNNNNNNNNNNNNNNNNNNNNNNNNNNNNNNNNNNNNNNNNNNNNNNNNNNNNNNNNNNNNNNNNNNNNNNNNNNNNNNNNNNNNNNNNNNNNNNNNNNNNNNNNNNNNNNNNNNNNNNNNNNNNNNNNNNNNNNNNNNNNNNNNNNNNNNNNNNNNNNNNNNNNNNNNNNNNNNNNNNNNNNNNNNNNNNNNNNNNNNNNNNNNNNNNNNNNNNNNNNNNNNNNNNNNNNNNNNNNNNNNNNNNNNNNNNNNNNNNNNNNNNNNNNNNNNNNNNNNNNNNNNNNNNNNNNNNNNNNNNNNNNNNNNNNNNNNNNNNNNNNNNNNNNNNNNNNNNNNNNNNNNNNNNNNNNNNNNNNNNNNNNNNNNNNNNNNNNNNNNNNNNNNNNNNNNNNNNNNNNNNNNNNNNNNNNNGGCCACCGGCUGCGCCCCCUGGCCGCGCCACACCGCGGCGGUGCCCCCGCAUCCAGAACGGCCGCGGCCGUCGCCCGGGUCUGCCCCGACGGGCACCCCUCGCCCGCGCCCGUUAAGCCCACUCCAGUGGGUUUUGUGCCACUGGCAGCUGGGGCCCUCUCCCCUGUUUUGUAUAAAAAAAGAAGGGAAAAAAUAAUUUAAUAAAAACAAUUCACUUAAUUAAAUUGGUAUAUUUAGUUCUAAUUAGAAUUAAUUAGCUUAAUCACCUCGUUUAGUUAUCUAAUCAAUUAGGUUAGCUGAGGUGACUAUGACAGAUGGGCCCCACUGCUCCUUUUGACCAGUCAACCCCGUCAAGGUUGACUGUUGACCCUGAUGAUGUCAUGCUGAUGUAAUAACCCCAUUUUAGAUUUAAUAAUAAUUCCAUGAAUUCAAUAAAUUUCUAAAAAUUCAUAGAAAUAAUCCGUAGCUCGGAUGAAAAAGUUUUAUACAUGAAAGUUGCUUAGAACGACGAGACGAAUCCGAAUACGUGGUCCGUUCGUCUGUCGCAUGCCCCUAGCAUAGCGAACAUGCAACCUUUCCCCUCUGUUUCAUCUGUCCGGAAAUGCCAAACUUCGGGAAAGCAUUCCCGGAUGUUAUCCCCUUCGCCGGUAUCAUGUAGCACUGCGUUAGAACAUCCCUAGCACCGCGUUUCGUCAUGUCAUGCAUAGUAUUGCACUUGUUUGCUCUGUAUUUAUUGUUUCUUCCCCCUCUUCUCUCUGGUAGACCCCGAGACCGCUGCUGAUGCCCCUGUGAUCGACUACGUCACCGACAACACUUCUUCCCUUUCAGCGGAGCUUUCAGGCAAGCCCCUCCUUUGAUCAUCCCGAUAUCGCCCAUUCCAUUCUCUCAUGCUUGCAUUAGAUUUUGCUACUGUUAUUGUUUGCUCCUAUUCUGAUGCAUUGCCUGCUUUUGUAACCUGGUCAUUGUACCUUACCUGCUUAUCCUAAACUGCUUAGUAUAGGUUGAUUAGUGAUCCAUCAGUGACCCCCACCUUGUCCUUGUUUCCCCUGCUUUAGCAUCGAUGACUCGAUCAACGUGAUCGACGACCAGAGCCUGACACCUCACAUCACAUCACACCCCUUUUGUUGCUCGACUCUGUAGAGCUACUAUCAAGUGCCGAGGGUGAGACCUCACAACGCACUCCCGAUGACAACUCUGUAGUGUAGCUAUUCGGUCAUGGUCAUCGAGGGUGGUUCCUCCUUCACCAUUCCCGAUACGGCUCUGUCGUGCAACCCCUCAAGUGUGAACCUCGAGGGUGGUUCCUCUUACGUUCACCUUGAUGAUUACAUCAAGUGGAAUUCACCGGAGGUGAUUCCUCAGGUUUUCCCCUUGGUGUUUGGACACACGGUUACCUUGACUUUACUUGAGACCAUUGUUGAAGUCGGGUCGGCCCCGAGGGGUACCUGCGAGUCGAUGUGAAAGUGGGGCGGGCCCGUUGAGCACCCGCGAGUUUUCUACGUGGCACGGCCGGGCAGUCUGGGCCCUUGCCGUAAGUCCAUGAGACGGGGCGACGGGGUCACAUUAUCGUGAGUCUCUGCUCAUCUCCACGAGCCCCCAAUGCACUAACAGGUUUGGGUAUUUGUUCCGAGUUGGCCUCUGGCCUUUACGCACUAACCACCACGCGAGAAUAGAUAUGGGCCUCGAUGUCGCAGUAUCAGCCAAAGCUUUGUCAGACGUCCAGUUCAGCAUUGUUGGCCUGUCGGGCCAGUGCCAUCCAGUAUGAGGUGGUGCUCGUCCCGGCUCGUCGCACAACGACCCGGAGUGCAACAGGCGAUGGGCCCAGACCCCGAAGUGCUUAGGAUGUAGACCGACGGGGACCUCACUUCUGAGCCUAGGUAGGGCUACGACGUGUUGAUCUUUCGAGGCCGGGAUUGACUCAGAAAAGUGUGUCCGGCCAGAGUAAUCAAGCAUGUUGGAAAACGUGGUGCACCCCUGCAGGGAACAUAUAUAUUCGAAUACCGUGUCCACGGCAACGGACGUUCAGACUUGUAUCAUGAUCUUAUACAACUAGAACUAGAUACUUGAGAUAUGUGAUGGAUAUGUUGGCUCCGGGAUUGCUUUUUGCAGGGAGUCGAGGAAGGAUCUCUGGGCCGUAAUGGUACAACAUGCUUGUUAAUUAUAAAUUGCUAAUUCUUUACUCUUCUACAUGCUGCAAGACACUUGGAGCAGCUUGAAGAUGCUAGUCUUCGAUAGGCUAGGCCUUCCCCCCUAUUCUGGCAUUCUGCAGUUCAGUCCAUAGAUGCAGCCCUUCCAUUUGAUACCAAUGCAUACUUAGUAUAGAUCUGAUGCUUGCGAGUACUUUGGAUGAGUACUCACGGUUGCUUUGCUACCCCUUUUCCCCCUUCCUUCUUCUUUCCGGUUGAUGCAACCAGAUGGUGGAUCCUUGGAGCCAGAUGCCACCGCCGACGGAUGCUACUACGUGGAGACCGCCAACGACCAGGAGUAGUUAGGAGGUCCCAGGCAGGAGGCCUUGCCUCUUCGAUCGUUGUUGCUUUUGUGUUUGCCUUCUUAAGGCAUCCUUAUUUAACUUAUGUCUGUACUCAGAUAUUGUUGCUUCCGCUGACUCUUGUGUAUCAAGCUAUGUAUUCGAUCCCUCGAGGCCCCUGGCUUGUAUCAUAAAGCUUGUAUUAUUUUAUUUGUGUCUAGAGUUGUGUUGUGAUAUCUUCCCGUGAGUCCCUGAUCUUGAUCGUACACGUCUGCAUGGAUGAUUAGUGUACGGUCGAAUCGGGGGCGUCACACCAAUGCAGCUGAAGGAAAUAUGCCCUAGAGGCAAUAAUAAAGUUAUUAUUUAUUUCCUUAUAUCAUGAUAAAUGUUUAUUAUUCAUGCUAGAAUUGUAUUCACCGGAAACAUAAUACAUGUGUGAAUACAUAGACAAACAAAGUGUCACUAGUAUGCCUCUACUUGACUAGCUCGUUAAUCGAAGAUGGUUAUGUUUCCUAACCAUAGACAUGAGUUGUCAUUUGAUUAACGGGAUCACAUCAUUAGGAGAAUGAUGUGAUUGACUUGACCCAUUUCAUUAGCUUAGCACUUGAUCGUUUAGUAUGUUGCUAUUGCUUUCUUCAUGACUUAUACAUGUUCCUAUGACUAUGAGAUUAUGCAACUCCCGUUUACCGAAGGAACACUUUGUGUGCUACCAAACGUCACAACGUAACUGGGUGAUUAUAAAGGUGCUCUACAAGUGUCUUCAAGGUACUUGUUGGGUUGGCGUAUUUCAAGAUUAGGAUUUGUCACUCUGAUUGUCGGAGAGGUAUCUCUGGGCCCACUCGGUAAUGCACAUCACUUAAGCCUUGCAAGCAUUGCAACUAAAGUGUUAGUUGCAGAUGAUGUAUUACGGAACGAGUAAAGAUACUUGAUGGUAACAAGAUUGAACUAGGUAUUGAGAUACCGACGAGCGAAUCUCGGACAAGUAACAUACCGAUGACAAAGGGAACAACGUAUUUGAUACUGGUUCUGUUGCUAAUAUUUGCAACUCGAAAUAGGGACUACGGAUUAAGCGGACACUGGCUAAGGACGAGGUGACGAUGUGCGUGGGAAACGGUUCCAAAGUCGAUGUGAUCGCCGUCGGCACGGUACCUCUACAUCUACCUUCGGGAUUAGUAUUAGACCUAAAUAAUUGUUAUUUGGUGCCAGCGUUGAGCAUGAACAUUAUAUCUGGAUCUUGUUUGAUGCGAGACGAUUAUUCAUUUAAAUCAAAGAAUAAUGGUUGUUCUAUUUAUAUGAGUAAUAUCUUUUAUGGUCAUGCACCCUUGAAGAGUGGUCUGUUUUUGAUGAAUCUCGAUAGUAGUGAUACACAUAUUCAUAGUGUUGAAGCCAAAAGAUGCAGAGUUGAUAAUGAUAGUGCAACUUAUUUGUGGCACUGCCGUUUGGGUCAUAUUGGUGUAAAGCGCAUGAAGAAACUCCAUACUGAUGGACUUUUGGAAUCACUUGGUACUUGCGAACCAUGCCUCAUGGGCAAGAUGACUAAAACGCCAUUCUCCGGAACUAUGGAGCGAGCAACUGAUUUGUUGGAAAUCAUACAUACUGAUGUAUGUGGUCCAAUGAAUGUUGAGGCUCGCGGCGGGUAUCGUUAUUUUCUGACCUUCACAGAUGAUUUAAGCGGAUAUGGGUAUAUCUACUUAAUGAAACAUAAAUCUGAAACAUUUGAAAAGUUCAAAGAAUUUCAGAGUGAAGUUGAAAACCAUCACAACAAGAAAAAUAAAGUUUCUGCGAUCUGAUCGUGGAGGUGAAUAUUUGAGUUACGAGUUUGGUCUACAUUUGAAACAAUGCGGAAUAGUUUCGCAACUCACGCCACCUGGAACACCACAGCGUAAUGGUGUGUCCGAACGUCGUAAUCGUACUUUACUAGAUAUGGUGCGAUCUAUGAUGUCUCUUAUUGAUUUACCGCUAUCAUUUUGGGGUUAUGCUUUAGAGACGGCUGCAUUCACGUUAAAUAGGGCACCAUCAAAAUCCGUUGAGAUGACGCCUUAUGAACUGUGGUUUGGCAAGAAACCAAAGUUGUCGUUUCUUAAAGUUUGGGGCUGCGAUGCUUAUGUGAAAAGGCUUCAACCUGAUAAGCUCGAACCCAAAUCGGAGAAAUGUGUCUUCAUAGGAUACCCAAAGGAAACUGUUGGGUACAACUUCUAUCACAGAUCCGAAGGCAAGACAUUCGUUGCCAAGAAAGGAUCCUUUCUAGAGAAGGAGUUUCUCUCGAAAGAAGUGAGUGGGAGGAAAGUAGAACUUGAUGAGGUAACUGUACCUGGUCCCUUAUUGGAAAGUAGUUCAUCACAGAAACGGUUCCUGUGACAUCUAUACAAAUUAAUGAGGAAGUUAAUGAUGAUGAUCAUGAAACUUCAGAUCAAGUUGUUAAUGAACCUCGUAGGUCAACCCGAGUAAGAUCCGCACCAGAGUGGUAUGGUAAUCCUGUUCUGGAGGUUAUCUUACUAGACCAUGACGAACCUACGAACUAUGAAGAAGCGAUGGUGAGCCCAGAUUCCGCAAAAUGGCUUGAGGCCAUGUAAUCUGAGAUGGGAUCCAUGUAUGAGAACAAAGUGUGGACUUUGGUUGACUUGCCCGAUGAUCGGCAGGCCAUCGAGAAUGAAUGGAUCUUUAAGAAGAAGACUAACGCUGAUGGUAAUGUUAAUGUCUAUAAAGCUCGACUUGUUGCAAAAGGUUUUCGACAAGUUCAAGGGGUUGACUACGAUGAGACUUUCUCACCUGUAGCGAUGCUUAAGUCUGUCCGAAUCAUGUUAGCAAUUGCCGCAUUUUAUGAUUAUGAAAUUUGGCAAAUGGAUGUGAAAACUGCAUUCCUGAAUGGAUUUCUGGAAGAAGAGUUGUAUAUGAUGCAACCGGAAGGUUUUGUCGAUCUAAAGGGAGCUAACAAGGUGUGCAAGCUCCAGCGAUCCAUUUAUGGACUGGUGCAAGCCUCUCGGAGUUGGAAUAAACAUUUUGAUAGUGUGAUCAAAGCAUAUGGUUUUAUACAGACUUUUGGAGAAGCCUGUAUUUACAAGAAAGUGAGUGGGAGCUCUGUAGCAUUUCUGAUAUUAUAUGUGGAUGAAAUAUUGUUGAUCGGAAAUGAUAUAGAAUUUCUGGAUAGCAUAAAGGGAUAUUUGAAUAAGAGUUUUUCAAUGAAGAACCUCGGUGAAGCUGCUUAUAUAUUGGGCAUCAAGAUCUAUAGAGAUAGAUCAAGACGCUUAAUAGGACUUUCACAAAGCACAUACCUUGACAAAGUUUUGAAGAAGUUCAAAAUGGAUCAAGCAAAGAAAGGGUUCUUGCCUGUGUUACAAGGUGUGAAGUUGAGUAAGACUCAAUGCCCGACCAAUGCAGAAGAUAGAGAGAAAAUGAAAGAUGUUCCCUAUGCUUCAGCCAUAGGCUCUAUCAUGUAUGCAAUGUUGUGUACCAGACCUGAUGUGUGCCUUGCUAUUAGUUUAGCAGGGAGGUACCAAAGUAAUCUAGGAGUGGAUCACUGGACAGCGGUCAAGAACAUCCUGAAAUACUUAAGAAGGACUAAGGAUAUGUUUCUCGUUUAUGGAGGUGACAAAGAACUCGUCGUAAAUGGUUACGUCGAUGCAAGCUUUGACACUGAUCCGGACGAUUCUAAAUCGCAAACGGGAUAUGUGUUUAUAUUGAACGGUGGAGCUGUCAGUUGGUGCAGUUCUAAACAAAGCGUCGUAGCGGGAUCUACAUGCGAAGCGGAGUACAUAGCUGCUUCGGAAGCAGCAAAUCAAGGAGUCUGGAUGAAGGAGUUCAUAUCCGAUCUAGGUGUCAUACCUAGUGCAUUGGGUCCAAUGAAAAUCUUUUGUGACAAUACUGGUGCAAUUGCUUUGGCAAAGGAAUCCAGAUUUCACAAAAGAACCAAGCACAUCAAGAGACGCUUCAACUCCAUCCGGGAUCAAGUCCAGGUGGGAGACAUAGAGAUUUGCAAGAUACAUACGGAUCUGAAUGUUGCAGACCCGUUGACUAAGCCUCUUCCAUGAGAAAAACAUGAUGAGCACCAAGACUCUAUGGGUGUUAGAAUCAUUACUGUGUAAUCUGGAUUAUUGACUCUAGUGCAAGUGGGAGACUGAAGGAAAUAUGCCCUAGAGGCAAUAAUAAAGUUAUUAUUUAUUUCCUUAUAUCAUGAUAAAUGUUUAUUAUUCAUGCUAGAAUUGUAUUAACCGGAAACGUAAUACAUGUGUGAAUACAUAGACAAACAGAGUGUCACUAGUAUGCAUCUACUUGACUAGCUCGUUAAUCGAAGAUGGUUAUGUUUCCUAACCAUAUACAUGAGUUGUCAUUUGAUUAACGGGAUCACAUCAUUAGGAGAAUGAUGUGAUUGACUUGACCCAUUCCGUUAGCUUAGCACUUGAUCGUUUAAUAUGUUGUUAUUGCUUUCUUCAUGACUUAUACAUGUUCCUAUGACUAUGAGAUUAUGCAACUCCUGUUUACCGAAGGAACACUUUGUGUGCUACCAAACGUCACAACGUAACUGGGUGAUUAUAAAGGUGCUCUAUAGGUGCCUCCGAAGGUACUUGUUGGUUUGGCGUAUUUCAAGAAUAUGAUUUGUCACUCCGAUUGUCGGAGAGGUAUCUCUGGGCCCACUCAGUAAUGCACAUCACUUAAGCCUUGCAAGCAUUGCAACUAAAGUGUUAGUUGCGGAUGAUGUAUUACGGAACGAGUAAAGAGACUUGCCGGUAAUGAGAUUGAACUAUGUAUUAAGAUACCGACGAUCGAAUCUCGGACAAGUAACAUACCGAUGACAAAGGGAACAACGUAUGUUGCUAUGCGGUUUGACCGAUAAAGAUCGUCGUAGAAUAUGUGGGAGCCAAUAUGAGCAUCCAGGUUCUGCUAUUGGUUAUUGACCGGAGACGUGUCUCGGUCAUGUCUACAUAGUUCUCGAACCCGUAGGGUCCGCACGCUUAAAGUUCGAUGAUGGUUAUAUUAUGAGUUUACGUGUUUUGAUGUACCGAAGGUAGUUCAGAGUCCCGGAUGUGAUCAUGGACAUGAUGAGGAGUCUCGAAAUGGUCGAGACAUGAAGAUAGAUAUAUUGGACGACUAUAUUCGGACACCGGAAUGGUUCCGGGGGUUAUCAGAUAUAUACCGGAGUGCCGGGGGGUUACCGGAACCCCCCGGAGGUUAUUGGGCCUCAUGGGCCCAAGUGGUGGAAGAGGAGAGGCGGCCAAGGGGCAGCCGCGCGCCCCUCCCCCAAAGUCCGAAUUGGACAAGGAGGGGGGCGGCGCCCCCUUUCCUUUCCCCCUCUCUCUCCUUCCCUCUCCUCUCCUACUCUGUGACGCCCCCGAUUUGACCGUACACUAAUCAUGCACGCAAAUGUGUACGAUCAAGAUCAAGGACUCACGGGAAGAUAUCACAACACAACUCUAAAACAUAAAUAAGUCAUACAAGCAUCAUAAUACAAGCCAGGGGCCUCGAGGGCUCGAAUACAAGUGCUCGAUCACAGACGAGUCAGCGGAAGCAACAAUAUCUGAGUACAGACAUAAGUUAAACAAGUUUGCCUUAAGAAGGCUAGCACAAAAGUAGCAACGAUCGAAAAGGCAAGGCCUCCUGCCUGGGACCUCCUAACUACUCCUCGAAGCCGAACUCCAUGUAGCAUCAUCCUCGGGAUCUCUAGCUCCUGGACUCCAGCAUCUGGUUGUGACAAUCAGGUAUAGAAAGGGGAAAAGAGGGAGAAAAGCAACCGUGAGUACUCAUCCAAAGUACUCGCAAGCAAGGAGCUACACUACAUAUGCAUGGGUAUAUGUGUAAAGGGCCAUAUCAGUGGACUGAACUGCAGAAUGUCAGAAUAAGAGGGGGAUAGCUAAUCCUGUCGAAGACUACGCUUCUGGCAGCCUCCAUCUUGCAGCAUGUAGAAGAGAGUAGAUUGAAGUCCUCCAAGUAGCAUCGCAUAGCAUAAUCCUACCCGGCGAUCCCCUCCUCGUCGCCCUGUUAGAGAGCGAUCACCGGGUUGUAUCUGGCACUUAGAAGGGUGUAUUUUAUUCAGUAUCCAGUUCUAGUUGUCAUAAGGUCAAGGUACAACUCUGGGUCGUCCUUUUACCGAGGGACACGGCUAUUCGAAUAGAUAAACUUCCCUGCAGGGGUGCACCACAUAACCCAACACGCUCGAUCCCAUUUGGCCAGACACACUUUUCUGGGUCAUGCCCGGCCUCGUAAGAUCAACACGUCGCAGCCCCACCUAGGCUCAACAGAGAGGUCAGCACGCCGGUCUAAACCUAUGCGCGCAAGGGUCUGGGCCCAUCGCCCUAUGCACACCUGCACGUUGCGUACGCGGCCGGAAGCAGACCUAGCCCCCUUAAUACAAGCGCGAGCUUACGGUCCAAUGCGGCGCGCGCCACUCAGUCGCUGACGUCAAAAGAGCUUCGGCUGAUACCACGACGUCGGGAUACCCAUAACUACUCCCACGUAGAUGGUUAGUGCGUAUAGACCAAAUGGCCAGACUAAGAUCAAAUACCAAGAACUCGUUAAGCGUGUUGUGUAUCCGCGAACGCCGACCAGGGCCAGGCCCACCUCUCUCCUAGGUGGUCUCAACCUGCCCUGUCGCUCCGCCAUAAAGUAACAGUCGGGGGCCGUCAGGAACCCAGGCCCACCUCUACCGGGAUGGAGCCACCUGUCCUUUCAGCCCCCUCAUCAGAAUCACUUGCGGGUACUCAACGAGCCGACCCGACUUUAGUCACCACAUGUGUCAUGUAUAUAAUGUAUAUAGUAUAUACCCGUGAUCACCUCCCAAAGUGAUCACGGCCCAGUAGUAUAGCAUGGUAGACGGACAAGAGUGUAGGGCCACUGAUGGAACACUAGCAUCCUAUACUAAGCAGUAGGAUAGCAGGUAAGGGUAACAAUUGUAGUAACAAAGACAGGCUAUGCAUCAGGAUAGGAUUAACGGAAAGCAGUAACAUGCUACACUACUCUAAUGCAAGCAGUAUAGAGAAGAAUAGGCGAUAUCUGGUGAUCAAGGGGGGGGGGCUUGCCUGAUUGCUCUGGCAAGUAGGAGGGAUCGUCAACUCCGUAGUCGAACUGGGCAGCAGCAGUGUCGGUCUCGUAGCCUCCCGGAGAGAAGAGGGGGGAAGAAACAGUAAAUACAAUGCAAACAUAAGCAUGACGAUGCGUGACAUGACAAUGAGCGGUACUAGGUGUGCCCUAACGCGGCAGUAGGUGGUACCGGCGAAGGGGGGGAACAUCCGGGAAAGUAUUCCCGAUGUUUCGCAUUUUCGGACAGAUGAAACGGAGGGGGAAAGUUGCGUGUUCGAUAGGUUAGGGAGGUGUGGUGGACGAACGGGCUACGUAUUCGGAUUCGUCUCGUCAUUCUGAGCAACUUUCAUGUUGAAAAUAUUUUAAUCCGAGUUACGGAUUAAAAGAUAUGAUUUUCUAAAGAUUUUAUUAAUUUCUGGAAUUUAAUUAAUUAUUUAAUUUAAUUCGAAAUUAGGAUUUAUGACAUCAGCAUGAUGUCAUGCUGACAUCAGCAGUCAACAUUGACCGUUGACCUGGUCAACCUGACAGAUGGGUCCCACCUGUCAGGGACUGUUUAGCUAAUUAACAGUGAUUAAUUAGGUUAACUAGUUAUUAGGUUAAUUAAGUUUAAUUAGUUUAACUUAACAGGAUUAAUUAAGUUAAUUAAUUAUCUUAAUUAAUUAUUUAUUAUUAUUAUUUUAAUUAUUUAUUUUUAUUAAUUUAAUUUAUUAUUUUUAUUAUUUAAAGUUUUAAAACAUUUUCUAAAUUGUUUUAAUUCUGAAUUAAAUGUUAAAUUGCUACGGGUACACAGAGAGUGUACCCAGCUAUUUGUAUGUGAGGAUGACAGUGGGUCCCAGUUGACUGCUCAGUCAGCAGUUGACUGGUCCCUGUUGACUGGUCAAAGUGGGCCACGGGGUCCCACCUACCAUUGACUGGGCUAGUCCUAGUCAGUAGUUUGACUGGUCAAAGGGCCCAGUGGGGCCCGAGUGUCAUUGAGUGAUUUGUUUAACAGACUUUUAAACAAAACCAAUGAGAUUAAUUAGGACUGUGGGGUCCGAUGUCAGUGGCUGUUAGGGAUUUGGUUAGGGGGGUUAAUGACGUCCACGUCAUCGUGGUUAACGCCGGCGAGGAGUUACAGUGCGCCGGCGACGGCAGCAACGCGGGAACCCGCCGGGGCUUGCGCUACGGGCGUCGGUUCGAUGCGCGAAGGGGACCGAUGGGUAGCUAGGGGUCGACCACGUCGACCGGUGGUCGCGGGGCGGCCGGACUUGGCCGGCGUCGACGGCGGAGUCGACAUCCGCGACGGCACGGGCGGCUACCGGAACAGGCGCGGUGGGGCGAUGCGAGGCGGGCAGCGGGCGGGUACGGCGCGGGGAAGGGAGAAGGGACUGGAGGCCGGAGGUGGCCUCACCAGCGUUGGAGAGAAGCGGGGCGGCGAGGCUCGGGGGCGACCGUUGUGGAGGAGGAUGGGGACGAGGCGUCGUCGCCGUGUCGGGGAGGCGGACGCAGUCCGGCGGGGAGGAGGACGGGGACGCGGCGACGGCGGGGCAGCAUCAGGCGAGGUCAGCUCCGGGCGGCGGCGGUCCGGUGAUGGGGCCAUGGGUGGUGGCUCGGGCCGGGGUUGUCGAGGCCGACGCGGGGAGGCGAGGUGGCGGAGGUCGUCGCCGGCGGGCGGCUCAUCCACGGCCGCCGGGUCGCCGGAUGGUGCGGGGCUCGAGCGCGGGUGCUCNNNNNNNNNNNNNNNNNNNNNNNNNNNNNNNNNNNNNNNNNNNNNNNNNNNNNNNNNNNNNNNNNNNNNNNNNNNNNNNNNNNNNNNNNNNNNNNNNNNNNNNNNNNNNNNNNNNNNNNNNNNNNNNNNNNNNNNNNNNNNNNNNNNNNNNNNNNNNNNNNNNNNNNNNNNNNNNNNNNNNNNNNNNNNNNNNNNNNNNNNNNNNNNNNNNNNNNNNNNNNNNNNNNNNNNNNNNNNNNNNNNNNNNNNNNNNGGGGGGCUUUUGUUUUUAUUUUGUUUUCUUUUUUUUGUUUGUUUUAGUUUUAGUUCUUUUUCCUUUUCUGUUUUAUUUUAGUUACACUUUAUUCUUAGUUCAGUAAAACAUGACAAUAGCUCCAAAUUAGUGUUCCAAAACAACCCACUACCCUAAAAAGUUUUACCUCAAGAUAAAAUAGUUUAUGAUUUUAUAAAAUAUCAAAGGCAUUUAUUUAAUAGUUUUACCUACUGUUUUAAUCAUUUAAGUGCAUUUAAACUUUUUAUAAAAAUGUUGUUUCUUCACCAUAACUACCUACGCAAUAUUUGUCACGAUCCGAACAUUUUAGUUUUAACAUAUGAAAACUUUUGUUGUUUGCUUUUAUUUAAAUUUUGAAUUUGUUUCGGUUCUGAACCAUCGAGAGUUUAUCAACAGUAACGGGGUGACGUGGCAUCGUUAAUGAGGGAUUACUGUAGCUUAAUUAUCCGGGCAUCACAUACUCCAACAUGGAAGGGGGGGAGUCCUACUCCCGGUGGGAGUAGGACUCCUCAUGAGGCGCGCCAAGGGUGGCCGGCCCCUCCCCCUCCUCCACUCCUUUAUAUACGGGGAGGGAGGCACCCCCUAGAGACACAACAAUUGAUCCCUUGGAUCUCUUAGCCGUGUGCGGUGCCCCCCUCCACCAUAAUCCACCUCGGUCAUAUCGUAGCGGUGCUUAGGCGAAGCCCUACGCCGGUAGAACGUCAUCAUCGUCACCAUGCCGUCGUGCCGACGGAACUCUCCCUCAAAGCUCGGCUGGAUCGGAGUUUGAGGGACAUCAUCGAGUUGAAUGUGUGCUGAACUCGGAGGUGCCGUUCGUUUGGUACUUGAUCGGUCGGAUCGUGAAGACGUACGACUACAUCAACCGCGUUGUGCUAACGCUUCCGCUUUCGGUCUACGAGGGUACGUGGACACACUCUCCCCUCUCGUUGCUAUGCAUCACCAUGAUCUUGCAUGUGCGUAGGAAACUUUUUGAAAUUACUACGUUCCCCAACAACAGCUAUGUAUUCCGCUUCACACGUAGAUCCCGCCACGACGCUCUGCUUAGAACUGCACCAACUGACAGCUCCACCGUUCAAUAUAAACACGUAUCCGGCUUGAGACUUAGAGUUUCCGGAUCAGUGUCAAAGCUUGCAUCGACGUAACCUUUUACGACGAGCUCUUUGUCACCUCCAUAAACGAGAAACAUAUCCUUAGUCCUUUUCAGGUAUUUCAGGAUGUUCUUGACCGCUGUCCAGUGAUCCACUCAUGGAUUACUUUGGUACCUCCCUACUAUACUUAUAGCAAGGCACACAUCAGGUCUGGUACACAACAUUGCAUACAUGAUAGAACCUAUUGCUGAAGCAUAGGGAAUAACUUUCAUUUUCUCUCUAUCUUCUGCAGUGGUCGGGCAUUGAGUCUCACUCAACUUGACACCUUGUAACACAGGCAAGAACCCUUUCUUUGACUGGUCCAUUUUGAACUUCUUCAAAAUCUUAUCAUGGUAUGUGCUUUGUGAAAGUCUAAUUAAGCGUCUUGAUCUAUCUCUAUAGAUCUUGAUGCCCAAUAUAUAAGCAGCUUCACCGAGGUCUUUCAUUGAAAAAGUUUGAUUCAAGUAUCCUUUUAUGCUAUCCAGAAAUUCUAUAUAAUUUCCAAUCAACAAUAUGUCAUCCACAUAUAAUAUUAGAAAUGCUACAGAGCUCCCACUCACUUUCUUGUAAAUACAGGCUUCUCCAAAAGUCUGUAUAACACCAUAUGCUUUGAUCACACUAUCAAAACAUUUAUUCCAACUCCGAGAGGCUUGCACCAGUCCAUAAAUGGAUCGCUGGAGAUUGCACACUUUGUUAGCAUCCUUUGGAUCGACAAAACCUUCUGGUUGUAUCAUAUACAACUCUUCUUCCAGAAAUCCAUUCAGGAAUGUAGUUUUGACGUCCAUUUGCCAAAUUUCAUAAUCAUAAAAUGCGGCAAUUGCUAACAUGGUUCGAAUAGAGUUAAGCAUCGCUACGGGUGAGAAAGUCUCAUCGUAGUCAACUCCUUGAACUUGUCGAAAACCUUUCGCAACAAGUUGAGCUUUGUAGAUAGUAACAUUACCGUCAGCGUCAGUCUUCUUCUUUAAGAUCCAUUUAUUCUUGAUGGCUUGCCGAUCAUCGGGCAAGUCAACCAAAGUCCACACUUUGUUCUCAUAGAUGGAUCCCAUCUCAGAUUUCAUGGCCUCAGGCCAUUUUGCGGAAUCGGGGCUCAUCAUCGUUUCCUCAUAGUUCGUAGGUUUGUUAUGGUCUAGUAACAUGACGUCCAGAACAUGAUUACCGUACCACUCUGGUGCGAAUCUUACUCUGAUUGACCUACGAGGUUCAGUAGUAACUUGAACUGAAGUUUCAUGAUCACUAUCAUUAGCGUCCUCACUAAUUGGUGUAGGAAUCACUGGAACUGAUUUCUGUGAUGAACUACUUUCCAAUUCGGGAGAAGGUACAAUUACCUCAUCAAGUUCCACUUUCCUCCCACUCACUUCUUUCAAGAGAAACUCCUUCUCUAGAAAGGAUCCAUUCUUGGCAACGAAUAUCUUGCCUUCGGAUCUGUGAUAGAAGGUGUACCCAACAGUCUCCUUUGGGUAUCCUAUGAAGACACAUUUCUCCGAUUUGGGUUCGAGCUUAUCAGGUUGAAGCUUUUUCACAUAAGAAUCGCAGCCCCAAACUUUCAGAAACGACAACUUGGGUUUCUUGCCAAACCACAGUUCAUAAGGUGUCGUCUCAACGGAUUUAGAUGGUGCCCUAUUUAACCUGAAUGCAGCUGUCUCUAAAGCAUAACCCGAAAACAAUAGUGGUAAAUCAGUAAGAGACAUCAUAGAUCGCACCAUAUCUAAUAAAGUGCGGUUACGACGUUCGGACACACCAUUACGCUGUGGUGUUCCAGGUGGCAUGAGUUGCGAAACUAUUCCACAUUGUUUCAAAUGAAGACCAAACUCGUAACUCAAAUAUUCUCCUCCAUGAUCAGAUCGUAGAAACUUUAUUUUCUUGUUACGAUGAUUUUCUACUUCACUCUGAAAUUCUUUGAACUUUGCAAAUGUUCCAGACUUAUGUUUCAUGAAGUAGAUAUACCCAUAUCUGCUCAAAUCAUCUAUGAAGGUCAGAAAAUAACGAUACCCGCCGCGAGCAUCAACACUCAUCGGACUGCAUACAUCAGUAUGUAUUAUUUCCAACAAGUUUGUUGCUCGCUCCAUUGUUUCGGAGGACGGAGUCUUAGUCAUCUUGCCCAUGAGGCAUGGUUCGCAAGUAUCAAGUGAUUCAUAAUCAAGUGAUUCCAAAAGCCCAUCAGCAUGGAGUUUCUUCAUGCGCUUUACACCAAUAUGACCUAAAUGGAAGUGCCACAAAUAAUUUGCACUAUCAUUAUUAAACUUAUAUCUUUUGGUUUCAAUACUAUGAAUAUGUGUAUCACUACUAUCGAGAUUCAACAAAAAUAGACCACUCAUUAGGAGUGCAUGACCAUAAAAGAUAUUACUCAUAUAAAUAGAACAACCAUUAUUCUCUGAUUUAAAUGAAUAACCCUCUCGCAUCAAACAAGAUCCAGAUAUAAUGUUCAUGCUUAACGCUGGCGCCAAAUACCAAUUAUUCAGGUCUAAACUAAUCCCGAAGGUAGAUGUAGAGGUAGCGUGCCGACUGCGAUCACAUCAACUUUGGAACCAUUUCCCACGCGCAUCAUCACCUCGUCCUUAGCCAAUCUUCGCUUAAUCCGUAGCCCCUGUUUCGAGUUGCAAAUAUGAGCAACAGAACCAGUAUCAAAUACCCAGGCGCUACUGCGAGCAUUAGUUAAGUAGACAUCAAUAACAUGUAUAUCAAAUAUACCUUUCACUUUGCCAUCCUUCUUAUCCGCUAAAUACUUGGGGCAGUUCCGCUUCCAGUGACCAGUCCCUUUGCAGUAGAAGCACUCAGUCUCAGGCUUAGGUCCAGACUUGGGCUUCUUCACUUGAGAAGCAACUUGCUUGCCAUUCUUCUUGAAGUUCCCCUUCUUCCCUUUGCCCUUCUUCUUGAAACUGGUGGUCUUGUUGACCAUCAACACUUGAUGCUCCUUCUUGAUUUCUACCUCCGCAGCUUUUAGCAUUGCGAAGAGCUCGUGAAUUGUCUUAUCCAUCCCUUGCAUAUUAUAGUUCAUCACGAAGAUUUUGUAGCUUGGUGGCAGUGAUUGAAGAACUCUGUCAAUGACACUAUCACCAAGAAGAUUAACUCCCAAUUGAGUCAAGUGGUUGUGGAAACCAGACAUUCUGAGUAUAUGUUCACUGACAGAACUAUUCUCCUCCAUCUUGCAGCUAUAGAACUUAUUGGAGAUUUCAUAUCUCUCAAUCCGGGCAUUUGCUUGAAAUAUUAACUUCAACUCCUGGAACAUCUCAUAUGCUCCAUGACGUUCAAAACGUCGUUGAAGUCCCGGUUCUAAGCCGUAAAGCAUGACACACUGAACUAUCGAGUAGUCAUCAGCUUUACUCUGCCAGACAUUCUUAACGUCAUCAGUAGCAUCUGCAGCAGUGGCACUUAGCGGUGCUUCCAGAACGUAAUUCUUCUGUGCAGCAAUGAGGAUAAUCCUCAAGUUACGGACCCAGUCCGUGUAGUGGUUACCAUCAUCUUUCAACUUAGCUUUCUCUAAGAAUGCAUUAAAAUUCAAUGGAACAGUAGCACGGGCCAUUUAUCUACAACAACAUAGACAUGCAAAAUACUAUCAGGUACUAAGUUCAUGAUAAAUUAACGUUCAAUUAAUCAUAUUACUUAAGAACUCACACUUAGAUAGAUAUCCCUCUAAUCAUCUAAGUGAUCACGUGAUCCAUAUCAACUAAACCAUGUCUGAUCAUCACGUGAGAUGGAGUAGUUUUCAAUGGUGAACAUCACUAUGUUGAUCAUAUCUACUAUAUGAUUCACGCUCGACCUUUCGGUCUCAGUGUUCCGAGGCCAUAUCUGCAUAUGCUAGGCUCGUCAAGUUUAACCUGAGUAUUCUGCGUGUGCAAAACUAGUUUGCACCCAUUGUAUGUUGCUACCUCUUGAGCACUGCGUUGGUUUUCCCUUGAAGAGGAAAGGGUGAUGCAGCAAAGUAGCGUAAGUAUUUCCCUCAGUUUUUGAGAACCAAGGUAUCAAUCCAGUUGGAGGCCACACGCAAGUCCCUCGUACCUACACAAACAAAUAAGAACCUUGCAACCAACGCGAUAAAGGGGUUGUCAAUCCCUUCACGGCCACUUGCAAAAGUGAGAUCUGAUAGAGAUGAUAAGAUAAUAUUUUUGGUAUUUUUAUGAUAAAGAUUAAAAGUAAAGAUUGCAAAAUAAAUGGCAACAGAAAUAGCUAGUUGACGGGAGAUUAAUAUGAUGGAGGAUAGACCUGGGGGUCAUAGGUUUCACUAGUGGCUUCUCUCAAGAUAGCAUAAGUAUUACGGUGGGUGAACAAAUUACUGUCGAGCAAUUGAUAGAAAAGUGCAUAAUUAUGAGAAUAUCUAGGCAUGAUCAUGUAUAUAGGCAUCACGUCCGCGACAAGUAGACCGACUCCUGCCUGCAUCUACUACUAUUACUCCACACAUCGACCGCUAUCCAGCAUGCAUCUAGAGUAUUAUGUUCAUAAGAACAGAGUAAUGCAUUAGGUAAGAUGACAUGAUGUAGAGGGAUAAACUCAUGCAAUAUGAUAUAAACCCCAUCUUUUUAUCCUCGAUGGCAACAAUACAAUAAGCGUCGUUUCCCCUACUGUCACUGGAAUCGAGCACCGCAUGAUUGAACCCAAAGCUAAGCACUUCUCCCAUUGCAAGAAAGAUCAAUCUAGUAGGCCAAACGAAACUGAUAAUUCGAAGAGACUUGCAAAUAUAACCAAUCAUACAUAAAAGAAUCCAGAGAAGAUUCAAAUAUUGUUCAUAGAUAAUCUUGAUCAUAAACCCACAAUUCAUCGGAUCUCGACAAACACACUGCAAAAAGAGUUACAUCAAAUAGAUCUCCAAGAAAAUCAAGGAGAACUUUGUAUUGAGAUCCAAAGAGAGAGAAGAAGCCAUCUAGCUAAUAACUGUGGACCCGAAGGUCUAUGGUAAACUACUCACACAUCAUCGGAGAGGCUAUGGUGUUCAUGUAGAAGCCCUCCGUGAUCGAUGCCCCCUCCGGCAGAGCGCCAGAAAAGGCCCCAAGAUGGAUCUCACGGGUACAGAAGGUUGCGGCGGUGGAAUUAGGUUUUCAUGGUGCUCCUCGAUGGUUUGGGGGUACGUAGGUAUAUAUAGGAGGAAGAAGUAGGUCGGUGGAGCCACAAGGGGCCCAUGAGGGUGGAGGNNNNNNNNNNNNNNNNNNNNNNNNNNNNNNNNNNNNNNNNNNNNNNNNNNNNNNNNNNNNNNNNNNNNNNNNNNNNNNNNNNNNNNNNNNNNNNNNNNNNNNNNNNNNNNNNNNNNNNNNNNNNNNNNNNNNNNNNNNNNNNNNNNNNNNNNNNNNNNNNNNNNNNNNNNNNNNNNNNNNNNNNNNNNNNNNNNNNNNNNNNNNNNNNNNNNNNNNNNNNNNNNNNNNNNNNNNNNNNNNNNNNNNNNNNNNNNNNNNNNNNNNNNNNNNNNNNNCACGUUUGUUCCAAAAAUCACGCUCCCGAAGGUUUCAUUCCGUUUGGACUCAGUUUGAUAUUCCUUUUCUGCGAAACACUGAAAUAGGCAAAAAAAACAACAAUUUGCACUGGGCCUUGGGUUAAUAGGUUAGUCCCAAAAAUAAUAUAAAAUUAUAUAAAUAAGCCCAUUAAACAUCCAAAACAGAAUAUAUAAUAGCAUGGAGCAAUCAAAAAUUAUAGAUACGUUGGAGACGUAUCAUGUGUGAACGUAGAGCUUAUCACACCCGAUCAUCACGUGGUGUCUCGGCACGACGAACUGUAGCAACGGUGCAUACUCAGGGAGAACACUUAUGCCUUGAAAUUUAGUGAGAGAUCAUCUUAUAAUGCUACCGUCAAACUAAGCAAACUGAGAUGCAUAAAGGAUAAACAUCACAUGCAAUCAAUAUAAGUGAUAUUAUAUGGCCAUCAUCAUCUUGUGCCUUUGAGCUCCAUCUCCAAAGCACCGUCAUGAUCACCAUCGUCACCGGCUUGACACCUUGAUCUCCAUCAAAGCAUCGUUGUCAUCUCGCCAACUAUUGCUUCUAUGACUAUCGCUACCGCUUAGUGAUAAAGAAAAGCAAUUACAUGGCGAUUGCAUUUCAUACACUAAAGCGACAACCAUAUGGCUCUUGCCAGUUGCCGAUAACUAUUACAAAAUAUGAUCAUCUCAUACAACAAUUUAUAUAUCAUCACGUCUUGACCAUAUCACAUCACAACAUGCCCUGCAAAACAAGUUAGACGUCCUCUACUUUGUUGUUGCAAGUUUUACGUGGCUGCUACGGGCUUAGCAAGAACCGUUCUUACCUACGCAUCAAAAACCACAAUGAUUUUUCGUCAAGUGUGCUGUUUUAACAUUCAACAAGGACCGGGCGUAGCCACACUCGAUUCAACUAAAGCUGGAAAAACAGACACCCACUAGCCACCUGUGUGCGAAGCACGUCGGUAGAACCAGUCUCGCGUAAGCGUACGCGUAAUGUCGGUCUGGGCCACUUCAUCCAACAAUACUGCCGAAUAAAAGUAUGGCAUGCUGGUAAGCAGUAUGACUAUUAUCGCCCACAACUCUUUGUGUUCUACUCAUGCAUAUAACAUCUACGCAUAGACCUGGCUCGGAUGCCACUGUUGGGUAACACAGUAUUUCAAAAAAUUUCCUACGAUCACGCAAGAUCUAUCUAGGAGAUGCAUAGCAACGAGAGGGGAGAGUGUGUCUACGUAGCGUCAUAGACCGAAAGUGGAAGCGUUAUUAAAACGCGAUUGAUGUAGUUGUACGUCUUCACGAUCCGACCGAUCCUAGCACCGAACGUACAGCACCUCCGCGAUCUGCACACAUUCAGCCCGGUGACAUCCCACGAACUCUAGAUCGAGCUGAGGUCGAGGGAGAGUUUCGUCAGCACGACGGUGUGAUGGUGGUGUUGAUGAAGCUACUGACGCAGGGCUUCGCCUAAGCACUGCAACGAUAUGACCGAGGUGGAAAUCUGUGGAGGGGGGCACCGCACACGGCUAAACAAUCAACUUGUGUCUAUGGGGUUCCCCCCUCCCCCGUAUAUAAAGGAGUGGAGGAGGGGGAGGGCUGGCCUCCUAUGGCACUCCCAAGGGGGGGAGUCCUACUCCCAGUAGGAGUAGGUUUCCCCCUUCCCUAGUUGGAGUAGGAGAAGAAGGAAGAGGGAGAGGGAGAGAAGGAAAGGGGGGCCGGCCCCCCUCCCAAUUCAGAUUGGGCUUGGGGGGGGGGCGCACCCCCACCUUGGCCGCCUCCUCCUCUCUUCCACCAUGGCCCAUUAAGGCCCAUUAACUCCCCGUGGGGUUCCGGUAACCCCCCGGUACUCCGGAAAAAUGCCCGAACCACUCGGAACCUUUCCGGUGUCCAAACAUAGCCUUCCAAUAUAUUAAUCUUCAUGUCUCGACCAUUUUGAGACUCCUCGUCAUGUCGGUGAUCACAUCCUGGACUCCAAACAACCUUCGGUACAUCAAAACACAUAAACUCAUAAUACCGAUCGUCAUCGAACGUUAAGCGUGCGGACCCUACGGGUUCGAGAACUAUGUAGACAUGACCGAGACUCAUCUCCGGUCAAUAACCAAUAGCGGAACCUGGAUGCUCAUAUUGGCUCCUACAUAUUCUACGAAGAUCUUUAUCGGUCAAACCGCAUAACAAUAUACGUUGUUCCCUUUGUCAUCGGUAUGUUACUUGCCCGAGAUUUGAUCGUCGGUAUCCCAAUACGUAGUUCAAUCUCGUUACCGACAAGUUUCUUUACUCGUUCCGUAAUGCAUCAUCCUGCAACUAACUCAUAGUCACAUUGCUUGCAAGGCUUAUAGUGAUGUGCAUUACCGAGAGGGCCCAGAGAUACCUCUUCGAAACACGGAGUGACAAAUCCUAAUCUCGAUCUAUGCCAACCCAACAAACACCGUCGGAGACACCUGUAGAGCAUCUUUAUAAUCACCCAGUUACAUUGUGACGUUUGAUAGCACACUAAGUGUUCCUCUGGUAUUCGGGAGUUGCAUAAUCUCAUAGUCAUAGGAACAUGUAUAAGUCAUGAAGAAAGGAAUAGCAAUAAACUAAACGAUCAUAGUGCUAAGCUAACGGAUGGGUCAUGUCAAUCCCAUCAUUCUCUAAUGAUGUGAUCCCGUUCAUCAAAUGACAACACAUGUCUAUGGUUAGGAAACUUAACCAUCUUUCAUUAACGAGCUAGUCAAGUGGAGGCAUACUAGUGACACUCUGUUUGUCUAUGUAUUCACACAUGUACUAAGUUUCCGGUUAAUACAAUUCUAGCAUGAAUAAUAAACAGUUAACAUGAUAUAAGGAAAUAUAAAUAACAACUUUAUUAUUGCCUCUAGGGCAUAUUUCCUUCACGCGGAUGAAGAGGCCGGGUUGGACGACACCGGCAUCUCGGCGAACCCGGAGGUCACCAUUGAGGAGUGAUACGUCCAUUUUGCAUCAUGUUUUCCUAUUGUUAUUUACAAUGUUUUUUAUCUAUAAUAAUGCUUUUUGGAGUAAUUCUAAUGCCAUCUCUCUCAUAAUUUGCAAGGUACACACCAAGAGGGAGAAUUCUGGCAGCUGGAAAUCUAGACCUGAAAAAGCUACGCCAGGCUAUAUUCUGCACAACUCCAAAUGAGCUGAAACUUCACGGAGAUUUUUUAUGGAAUAUUUAAGGAAUAUUGGAGCCAAUAACUACCAGAGGGGGGCCACCAGGUGGGCACAACCCACCUGGGCACGCCAGGCCCCCUAGCGCGCCUUGGUGUAUUGUGCCCUCCUCGGCCCACCUCUGGUGCCCAUCUUCUGGUAUAUAAGUGCUUUUGACCUAGAAUAAAUCAGAAUAAUACUUUCGGGAUGGAGCGCCGCCGCCUCGAGGCGGAACUUGGGCAGGAGCACUUUUGCCCUCCGGUGGAGCGAUUCUGCCGGGGGAACUUCCCUCCCGGAGGGGGAAAUCAUCGUCAUCAUCAUCACCAACAACUCUCCCAUCUUAGGGAGGGCAAUCUCCAUCAACAUCUUCACCAGCACCAUCUCAUCUCAAACCCUAGUUCAUCUCUUGUAUUCAAUCUUGUUGCCGGAACUAUAGAUUGUUGCUAGGGGGUGACUAGUAGUGUUGAUUACAUCUUGUAGUUGAUUAAUGUAUGGUCUAUUUGGUGGAAGAUUAUAUGUUCAGAUCCAUAAUGCAUAUUAAUACCCCUAUUUGCCAUGGGGGCGUAAUUUGCCAUUGGGAAUGGCCGCUCGACCCACUUUUGGACCGAUCUUUGGAUAGGGGCCCAACCUCUAUGGGCUGAAUUCCGGGAUUUGUACAAGAUAGCUGUGGACCCAGCAAUGACGGUGGCGGAGGCGUUCGCGUCGACACCACCAGAGAUUUACUUUAAACGGGAACUCAAUGGGCAAGAGCAGACUAGUCUCGCAGCUCUGUUGCAGCUCAUCGGCCCAAUCAACCUUGCGGACGAACCGGACACAGUGAGCUGGGCGCUCACCAGCUCCGGAAAGUUUACGGUUAACUCCUUAUAUCGCAAGUUGUGUCGAGGGACGGCGCAACUUGCGAUUGCAGGGUUGUGGAUAGCACGGCUGCCCCUGAAGAUCAAACUCUUCAUGUGGCAAUUGUUCCGUGAUAAGCUGCCCACCUCCUUAAAUGUGGCCAAACGCAACGGACCGACCACCGGGCCGUGCGUGCUGUGCAGGGCUCCAGAGGAUGCCAACCAUGUGUUCUUCAACCGCCCUCUUGCAAGGUUUGCAUGGAGAGCGGUCCGGACCGCGACUGGUGUCCAAUGGGAUCCUCGAUCGGCUGUGGAGCUUACCCACCUUCUAGAUGCGAUCCACGGUCGUGCUAAACGGAUUAUGUGGAGUUGUGUAGGGGCACUACUCUGGGCUAUGUGGUUAACUAGGAACAAAUUCACUAUUGAGGGUUGCUUCCCUAUGCAUCCGGCUAACAUUAUCUUCAAAUGCAACCUCCUCUUGCAGUAGUGGAGUCCGUUGCGGAGGCGCAGGGAUGCUGAGCUGAUCAAGGCCGCCCAACAACGUCUGAUGCAAGUGUAUGUGAUGGCUAGGGAGCCUUGACUAUGGUUCUGACUGUGGUCCCUUUUGGUGCUUGACGAGCCUGCGCGCUCUGUACGGGCUAUGCCCUGUAAUCCACUAGUGGUUUGUUAAGUCGCGCUUGAACUAUUUUGGUGAUCCUUUUGCGUAGGCCGGAACGGCUUGUGGUGAUGUCUUAAGACUUGGUGUUGUGCUACGCUGCCUGUUGUGGGCUUUAUUAAUUUAAAGCCGAACGCAUCUGGCGUCUUUGUUCUAAAAAAAAUUAAUACCCCUUUGAUCAUGAGCAUGUUGAUGAGUUGUGAGUAGUUACUUUUGUUCUUGAGGUCAUGGGAUAAAUCAUGUUGCAAGUAAUCAUGUGAACUUGAUAUGUGUUCGAUAUUUUGAUAGUAUGUAUGUUGUGAUUCCCUUAGUGGUGUCUUGUGAACAUCGACUACAUGACACUUCACCAUAUUUGGGCCUAAGGGAAUGCAUUGUGGAGUAGUAAAUAGAUGGUGGGUUGCGAGAGUGACAGAAACUUAAACCUCAGUUUAUGCACUAUUCCGUAAGGGACCGAUUGGAUCCUAGAGUUUAAUGCUAUGGUUAGGAUUUAUCCUUAAUACUUUUCUCGUAGUUGCGGAUGCUUGCGGGAGGGUUAAUCAUAAGUAGGAGGUUUGUUCAGGUAAGAACAGCACCUAAGCACCGGUCCACCCACAUAUCAAAUUAUCAUAGUAGCAAACACAAAUCAAACCAACAUGAUGAAAGUGACUAGAUGAAAUUCCCGUGUACCCUCAAGUACGCUUUGCUUAUCAUAGGAGACCGUUUUGGCCAGUCCUUUGCCUCAAAAGGAUUGGGAUACCUUGCUGCAUACUUGUUACAAUUAUCGUUACUUGCUCGUUACAAAUUAUCUUGCUAUCAAACUACUUGCUACUUACAGUUUCAGCACUUGCAGACAUUACCUUACUGAAAACUACUUGUCAUUUCCUUCUGCUCCUCGUUGGGUUUGACACUCUUACUUAUCAAAAAGAGCUACAAUUGACCCCAUAUACUUGUGGGUCAUCAAGGCUAUUUUCUGGCGCCGUUGCCGGGGAGUGAAGCGCCUUUGGUAAGUGGAAUUCGGUAAGGAAACAUUUAUAUAGUGUGCUGAAAUUUAUUGUCACUUGUCACUAUGGAAAACAAUCCUUUGAGGGGUUUGUUCGGGGUAUCUUCACCUCGUCCGGAACCACAAUUAAUUGCCCUUCAACCUACUGCACCUACUGAAAAUAUUGAAUAUGAAAUUCCUUCGUGUAUGAUAGAACAACUGCUAGCUAAUCCUUAUGCAGGAGAUGGAACAGAACAUCCUGAUAUGCACUUGAUACAUGUGGAACAAAUUUGUGGAUUGUUCAAGCUUGCAGGUUUACCCAGAGAUGAAGUUAUGAAAAUGGUUUUCCCUUUAUCUUUGAACGGAAAAGCAUUGGCAUGGUAUAGGCUAUGCGAUGAUGUUGGAUCAUGGAAUUGAAAUCGUUUAAAAUUGGAGUUUCACCAAAAUUUUUAUCCUAUGCAUCUAGUUCAUCAUGAUCGGAAUUAUAUAUAUAAUUUUUGGCCUCGUGAAGGAGAAAGUAUCCUCUAGCUUGGGGGAGGCUUAAGUCAAUGUUAUAUUCACGCCCCAAUCAUGAGCUCUCAAGAGAAAUUAUUAUUCAGAAUUUUUAUGCUUGGCUUUCUCGUAUGAUCGAACCAUGCUGGAUACUUCUUGUGCUGGUUCUUUUAUGAAGAAAACUACUGAAUUCCGGUGGGAUCUCUUAGAAAGAAUUAAACGCAAUUUAGAAGAUUGGGAACUCGACGAAGGUAAAGAGUCAGGUAUAAAGCUUAAGUAUGAUUGUGUUAAAUAUUUUAUGGAUACCGAUGCUUUUCAAAAGUUUAGCACUAAAUAUGGACUUGACUCUGAGAUAGUAGCCUCCUUCUGUGAAUCAUUUGCUACUCAUUUUGAACUCCCUAAAGAGAAGUGGCUUAAAUAUCACCCACCUAUUAAAGAUGAAAUUAAAGAACCAGUACCAGUUAAAGAAGAAACUAUACUCUAUAAUAUUGAUCCAGUUGUUCCUACUGCUUAUAUUGAGAAACCACCUUUUCCUGUUAGGAUAAAGGAGCAUGCUAAAGUUUCAACUGUGGUUAAAAAAGCUAUGUUAGAACACCUAAACCAGAUGAACAAAUUAGAGUUGAACCUAAUAUUGCUAUGGUUAAAGAUCUCUUAGAAGAAGAUGUGGAUGGGCAUGAUAUCUACUUUUGUGAAGAAGCUGCUAGAAUUGCCAAACCUGAAAAAGGGGUAAAAAUAGAACAGUAGUUGGCCUACCUGUCAUCUCAGUUAAAAAUAGGAGAUCACUUUUAUCAUGGUUUAUGUGACCUGGGUGCUAGUGUGAGUGCUAUUCCUCGUAAGUUAUAUCAAGAAAUUAGGGAAGACAUAGCACCUAUUGAGAUAGAAGACAUAGAUGUUACUAUUAAACUUGCAAAUAGAGACACUAUAUCACCAGUUGGGAUUAUUAGAGAUGUUGAAGUCUUGUGUGGGAAAGUAAAAUACCCUACUGAUUUUCUUGUUCUUGGUUCCCCACAAGAUGAAUUUUGUUCCAUUAUCUUUGGCAGACCUUUCUUGAACACAGUUAAUGCUAGGAUAGAUUGCUAGAAACAAAUUGUGGGUGUUAGCUUUGGUGAUGAGUCUCAUGAGUUUAUUUUUUCCAAUUUUAGUAGAAACCAUCAUGAAAAAGAGUUGCCUAGUAAGGAUGAAUUGAUUGGUCUUGAUUCUAUUGUUGUGCCACCUACUGAUCCUUUAGAACAAUACUUGCUAGACCAUGAAAAUGAUUUACAUAUGCAUGAAAGAAAUGAAAUAGAUAAUAUUUUCUUUGAACAACGUCCUCUGCUUAAACACAAUUUGCCUAUUGAAACUCUAGGAGGUCCUCCUCCACCUAAGGGUGAUCCUGUGUUUGAAUUAAAACAAUUGCCAGACAAUGUGAAAUAUGCUUAUCUGGAUGAAAAGAAAAUAUAUCCUGUUAUUAUCAGUGCUAACCUUUCAGAACAUGAAGAAGAAAGAUUAUUGAAAGUUCGAAGGAAGCACCGAGCUACUAUUGGAUAUACUCUUGAUGAUUUAAAGGGCAUUAGUACCACUCUAUGUCAACACAAAAUUAAUAUGGAACCUGAUGCUAAACCAAUUGUUGAUCACCAACGUCGGUUAAAUCCGAAGAUGAAAGAAGUGGUAAGAACGGAAAUAUUAAAACUUCUGGAAGCAUGUAUAAUCUAUCCUAUAGCUGAUAGUAGAUGGGUAUGUCCUGUUCAUUGUGUCCUGAAGAAAGGAGGUAUUACUAUUGUUCCUAAUGAUAAGAAUGAACUUAUUCCACAAAGAAUUGUUACAGGGUAUAGAAUGGUAAUUGAUUUCAGAAAAUUAAAAAAAGCUACUAGAAAAGAUCAUUACCCUUUGCCUUUUAUUGAUCAAAUGCUUGAAAGAUUAUCUAAGCACACACACUUUUGCUUCCUUGAUGGAUAUUCUGGCUUUGCAUAAAUACCUGUAUCUCAACCUGAUCAAGAAAAGACUACUUUUACUUGUCCUUUUGGAACUUAUGCUUAUAGACAUAUGCCUUUUCGUUUAUGUAAUGCACCUGCUACCUUUCAAAGAUGCAUGAUGGCUAUAUUCUUUGACUUUUGUGAAAAGAUUGUUGAGGUUUUCAUGUUUGACUUCUCUAUUUAUGGGAAGUCUUUUGAUGAUUGUUUAAGCAAUCUUGAUCGAGUUUUGCAGAGAUGUGAACAAACAAAUCUUGUCUUGAAUUGGGAGAAGUGCCACUCUAUGGUUAAUGAAGGCAUUGUAUUGGUUCAUAAAAUUUCUGAAAAAGGUAUUGAAGUGGACCAAGCUAAGGUUGAUGCGAUUGAGAAAAUGCCAUGUCCUAAGGACAUUAAAGGUAUUUGUAGUUUCCUAGGUCAUGCUGGUUUCUAUAGGAGAUUUAUCAAGGACUUCUCUAAAAUUUCUAGGCCUCUCACUAAUUUAUUGCAAAAGGAUGUCCCUUUUGUUUUUGAUGAUGAUUGUUUAGAAGCCUUUGAAUCACUCAAGAAAGCUUUAAUUUCUGCACCUAUUGUUCAACCACCUGAUUGGAACUUGCCUUUUGAAAUUAUGUGUGAUGCUAGUGAUUAUGCUGUUGGUGUUGUUCUAGGAGAAAGAGUUGAUAAGAAAUUGAAUGUUAUUCAUUAUGCUAGUAAAACUCUAGACAGUGCUCAAAGAAAUUAUGCUACAACUGAAAAAGAAUUCUUAGCAGUGGUGUUUGCUUAUGAUAAGUUUAGACCUUAUAUUGUUGAUUCCAAAGUAACUGUUCACACAGACCAUGCUGCUAUUAAAUAUCUUAUGGAAAAUAAAGAUGCUAAACCUAGACUUAUUCGUUGGGUUCUCUUGUUACAAGAAUUUGAUUUGCAUAUUAUUGAUAGAAAAGGAGCUGAGAAUCCAGUAGCUGAUAACUUGGCUAGGCUUGAAAAAGUGCUUGUUGACCCACUUCCUACUAAUGAUAGUUUUCCUGAUGAGCAGUUAGCUGCAAUAAAUGUUGCUAAUAGUACUCCUUGGUAUGCUGACUAUGCUAAUUACAUUGUUGCUAAAUAUUUACCACCUAGCUUUACUUACCAACAAAAGAAAAAAUUCUUCUAUGAUUUAAGACAUUACUUUUGGAAUGACCCGCAUCUUUAUAAAGAAGGGGUAGAUGGUAUUAUUAGACAUUGUGUACCUGAGCAUGAGCAGGGACAGUUCCUAUGGAAAUGUCACUCUGAACCAUAUGGAGGGCAUCAUGCUAGAGAUAGAACCGCUCACAAGGUAUUGCAAUCUGGAUUUUAUUAGCCUACUCUCUUUAUAGAUGCUCAUAAGUAUGUCUCAUCUUGUGAUGAAUGCCAAAGAAUAGGUAAUAUCGGUAAGCGUCAAGAAAUGCCUAUGAAUUAUUCACUUGCUGUUGAACCAUUUGAUUUUUGGGGAUUUGAUUACAUGAGACCUUUUCCUUCCUUUAAUGGGUAUACGCAUAUUUUGGUUGCUGUUGAUUAUGUUACUAAAUGGGUAGAAGCUAUUCCAACUAGUAGUGCUGAUCACAACACCUCUAUUAAAAUGCUUAAGGAAGUUAUUUUCCCAAGGUUUGGAGUCCCUAGAUACUUAAUGACUAAUGGUGGUUCACACUUUAUUCAUGGUGCUUUCCGUAGGAUGCUUGCUAAGUAUGAUGUUAACCAUAGGAUUGCAUCACCUUAUCAUCCUCAGUCUAGUGGUCAAGUUGAGCUUAGCAAUAGAGAAAUAAAAUUAAUUUUGCAAAAGACUGUCAAUAGGUCCAGGAAGAAUUGGUCUAAGAAAUUAGAUGAUGCACUUUGGGCUUAUAGAACAGCUUAUAAAAAUCCUAUGGGUAUGUCUCCUUAUAAAAUGGUUUAUGGAAAAGCUUGUCAUUUACCUCUUGAGUUGGAACAUAAAGCAUAUUGAGCAGUUAAAGAACUCAACUAUGAUUUCAAACUUGCCGGUGAAAAGAGGUUAUUUGAUAUUAGCUCUUUAGAUGAAUGGAGGACUCAGGCUUAUGAAAAUGCCAAAUUAUUCAAAGAGAAAGUUAAAAGAUGGCAUGACAAAAGAAUCCAAAAGCGUGAGUUUAAAGUUGGAGAAUAUGUCCUUUUGUACAACUCUCGUUUUAGAUUCUUUGCAGGAAAGCUCCUCUCGAAAUGGGAAGGCCCAUAUGUCAUCGAGGAGGUCUACCGGUCUGGAGCCAUCAAAAUAAAUAAUUUCGAAGGCACUAACCCGAAGGUUGUCAACGGGCAACAUAUAAAGCACUAUAUCUCAGGUACGCCUAUUAAUAUUGAAAGCAAUAUUGUCCAAACGUUGACACCGGAAGAAUACAUAAGAGAGUCCUUUCGGAACACUCCAGAAUCAUCAAAAUAAGGAGGUACGUGAUACCGUAAGUAAACGGACUCUGAAAAAUCCGCAAAAAUAUUUUUUUGUCAGUUUUGGAAUAUUCUAGAAUUUUAGGGAUAAAGAGACUUCAAGGAAGCGUCCCCUGGUGAGCACAAUACACCAGGGCGCGCCAGGCAUGCCUAGCGCGCCCUGGUGGGUUGUGCCCACUUGGGGCACCUUCCGGACUCCGUUUUUCUUCUGUAUACUUUUCCUGCAAGAUAAAAAUUCUAUAUUUACUUCCCGAACCUGUUAACCACCGUAUCACAAAGAAAUCCUCUGUUCUCUUUUCUUGCCGUUUCUAGUCAGAUUUAUCAAACGAGGCAUCAUGUCUUACUACUUCUCCAACAACAUGGAAGAAGAUGCUUGGCUGAUGAAGACCGAGGAGGAGGAGGAAGGAUCUCUUGACCCUCAAGGACAGGAUCGCUUCAUCACCUUCUUCACCACCAAAGGAGAACUGAGUAUUGGGUAUGGGCACUCCCCUUGGCUUCCGCCAAGCUUGGGGGAGGUGCCCCGGUAUCGUAUCAUCCCACUAUCUUUUUGCCUUUACUUAUCUUAGUUCAAUAUUUUGCUUAGAUGAAUAAAGUUUAGUUCGAUCUUUUCUUCCUUGAGAGUUUGCUUAGUGAUCUAUCAUUGUUAUCGUGUGCAAGUUAUAUAAUAAAGUUAGCUCGAGUUUUCACUUUCUUUACUUCCUUGUUGCAAAUAAAGAAAAGAAAAAGAGAAAGAAAGCAAACAAAAGAAAGGGAAUAAAUCAAUAAGAUCAUAUACUAAUCCUAUGGUAAGUGAUAGCACCACACAAGGAAAAGUAUAAGUAAGAGAAUUUUAUUAGAGAUUGACAAACAUAGCAUUGGUCAGUGAUGCAACUCAUGAAAGAGUUAAUAAUGGAAGGGAAGAUUCACAUAUAAAUAUACUCUCCUAGAAAUCUUUUGUGACUGUGAACCCUCACCAAAAUAUUAUAUGCCGAAAUUGUUGACGUUGGACAAGGAAGACAAUGUAAUGGUUUAUGUAUGUUUAUAUUCACAUAGAAGUCAUAUUGUCAUAGAUCCUUUAACAUGUGAUGCUUGCCUCCUAUCUUUGCUAGUCAAAAUUCUGCACUAAGUAGAGAUACUACUUGUGCAUCCAAAAACCCUUAAACCCAAAUCUUUUUCAAGUGUCCACCAUACCUACCUAGGGAUUGAGCAAGGUCCCUCAAGUAAGUUGUCAUCGGUGCAAAAAGGCAAUAAAAAUUGCUUCUAAAUGUGUGAGAUUGUUUAGUGUAAGACAAAAUUGAGCGUUACACAAACUUGGAUGACAAAGAAUAAAAGCACAGACUGCAUAAUAAAGGUUGUCAUCUUAAGGGGCAAUGUAACGUGAUGUUCUCUUGCACUAAGGGAUUGAGCAUACAAACAAAUAAGUGGAUGGCAACCUCUGCUUCCCUCUGCGAAGGGCCUAUCCUUUACUUUUAUGUAUUUACUUUUAUGCAAAGAGUCAAAGUUUCCCUUCUAUUCCUUUUAUUUUUCUCCUUUGGAAAGCAUCAUGUGGUGAGGAAAGAUCUAGGCACAUAUGUCCAGCUGAAUAUAGAUAGCAUGAGUUAUUAUUGUUGACAUCACCCAUGAGGUGAGCAUGUUGGGAGGCAAAACUCUAAGCCCCUAUCUUUCUAUGUGUCCGGUUGAAACGUUUUGCUCAUGAGUACAAGGUGAGUGUUAGCAAUCAUAGAAGACUAUAUGAUGGUCGAGUAUGUGGAUGAUACGUCUCCGUCGUAUCUAUAAGUUAUAAUCGUUCCAUGCCAAUAUUAUACAACUUUCAUAUACUUUUGGCAACUUUUUAUACUAUGUUUGGGACUAACAUAAUGAUCCAGUGCCCAGUGCCAGUUCAUGUUUGUUGCAUGUUUUUUGUUUCGCAGAAAAUCCAUAUCAAACGGAGUCCAAACGGGAUAAAAAUUGCGGAGAUUUUGUUUGGAAUAUAUGUGAUUUUUGGGAAGAAGAAUCAACGCGAGACGAUGCCCGAGGGGGCCACGAGACAGGGGGCGCGCCCCUGAUCCUCGUGGCCACCUCGUAAGGUGGUUGGUGCCCUUCUUUCAUGUCACGACCGGUUUUUCAAUAAAAUAAUUAUUGAGAGACCAAUCCCUUUUACGGACCAGCGAGGAAGAAUUCCUUCUCACUGGUAGACAAUAUCUUGGUCACAGAAGGAAAAUACCAGGAGUACUAAAUAUAAUACAAGGUUGAGCAGAGACUACCCAACAAUUUAUUACAUGCGCGCCGCUAAAACAAAACGGCGGAUGGGGUGGCAACUACUAACUCACGAUAAUAACGGUGGUGAAAAUAUCACCGCGAAGCGAGUGAUAUGAUUCCAGAAGACUACAGCUCUUCGAGCGUCGGAGUGAGGCUCGAGAAGACUUAUUGCGGGUGGCCGAAGCGUAUACAAUACAAGUGACCAAUAUCCGGGAUCGCGCAGGACUGAUUGGGACUCCUCUAGGCAUCGGACGCGCUAUCAAACUCUUCAUCCAAGAGACAAGCCAGGAAGCUCCGGCAAGCAAUAUUGCAAGAUCCACCGCACCAAGGGCCACGACCUCCAGAACCGCCGACAAGUCGAGCUGCUUGCUGAGAAGCAAAAAGCUGAGUAUGAGAGGCAGGACAAGGAGAAGGACCUGGAUGGUUCCGAGGGAUCCGGCAAGAAGCGUGGCGGCCAAGGAGGCCACCGCGACAAGGACAACCAGCAAGAAAGGCCCGCCCGGGGCCGUGACAAGAAACAAGAAGACAAUGAUCACGACGAGGACGACGAGUCCGGUGAGCAAGAGUUCCAGAAGGCUAUGGAGGCCAUGUGCGUCGAUGGUGGCGCCUCGCUGCAUACUUCUAAACACUUGCUCAAGCAGUGGGCGCGUGAGAUUACAGCAGUGGUCUAGCACGCCCCUCAUCUUUGACGCCGAGGACCACCCUGACCGCACAACCGCGGUCGGGUGUUUGCCAUUGUUGGUCUCACCAACGAUACGCAACCUCAAGGUGAACAAGAUGUUGGUUGACGGUGGGGCCGGCCUGAACUUGAUCUCGCCUAUCGUGAUCAAAAGACUGCAAAUUCCUGAUGGAGACCUCGAGGAAAUGGGUACGUCUCAAGGGGUCAAUCCGGGGAGGAGCCAGGCGAAGGGGAAGGUCACACUACCCGUGACGUUUGGAGGAGAGUUAAACUAUAGGAUGGAGAGGAUCAUCUUCGACGUGGCCGAGAUCCCCUUGCCCUACAACGGGAUCCUCGGCCGCCCGGCACUAGCCAAGUUCACGGCGGCAUCACACUACGCCUACAACAUGCUAAAGAUGCCCGGGCCGUUGACCAUCACCUCCGUCCCCUCCGACAAGCAGGACGCGCUAAUCUGCGCCGACCAACUCUACCGGGAAGCAGUUGCAGCAGCUGCUGUCAAGGGACCUGCUCCUGCCGCUGGAGGCCCGGAAGGGAAGGGGAAGCCCGGCAAGACCUCUCGCACCCACUCCGGCAAGCACGCCUCUUCGGAGUGCUACGCUACCGUCGAGGACGUGCCAGAGAGCUCUAUCGGCAAGAGCAAGAAAUCCAGAGCCGAGCCACCGCAGACCAAGAAGGUGUCCGCCAGGGAGGAUGGCACGGGAGAGGCCUUCACCAUAGGCUCCACCCUCGAUAGCAAAUAGGAAGGCGCGCUCGUCACCUUCCUGCGGGCGAAUGUCCACGUGUUCGCGUGGCAAGCAUCCGACAUCCCCGGUAUUCCCAGGGAGGUGAUUGAGCACCACCUAGCUGUCUGCCCUCAUGCGCAGCCCGUCAAGCAGAAGGUCAGAAAGUAGGCUCUGGAGAGGCAGGAGUUCAUCACGGAGGAGAUCAGGAAGUUGGAAGCGGCAGGUUUGGUGAGAGGAGUGCUCCACCCGACGUGGUUGGCCAAUCCGGUGGUGGUGUGCAAGGCGAAUGGGAAGUGGAGGCUAUGUAUUGAUUACACAGAUAUCAAUAAGGCUUGUCCUAAGGAUCCCUUCCCGUUGCCGCGCAUCGACCAUAUUGUUGACUCCACGGCCAGGUGUGAUCUGUUAUCAUUCCUCGACGCCUACUCGGGCUACCACCAAAUCUUCAUGACAAGGGAGGAUGAAGAAAAGACAGCAUUCAUCACCCCGUGUGGUACGUAUUGCUUUUUACGGAUGCCUUUCGGGUUGAAGAGUGCUGGCUCGACGUUCGCAAGAGCAGUCCAAAUUGGUUUUGAACCUUAGCUCCAUAGAAAUAUGGAGGCAUACAUGGACGACAUAGUGGUCAAAACCAAGGACGGGCCAACUCUUGUGCAAGAUCUGGAGGAGACAUUUGCCAACCUGUGCAAGAUCAACCUCAAGCUGAACCUUGAGAAGUGUGUCUUCGGUGUUCCGUCCGUCAAGAUUCUUGGGUUCUUUGUGUCACAGCGCGGGAUCGAGGCAAACCCAAAUAAAAUCAAGGCUAUUGAGCAGAUUGAGGCGCCCAAGCGGAUCAAAGAUGUGCGUCGGCUCACCGGCUGCAUCACCGCCGUGAGCCGAUUCAUCUCCAAGUCCGCUGAGCGCGCCCUUCCUUUCUUUAAAAUCUUGAAGAAGGCGGGCCCAAUGGAGUGGACCCCAGAAGCCGAGGCAGCAUUGCAGGAUCUGAAGAAAUACCUUUCCUCCACGCCAAUACUGGUUGCGCCUAAACCACAAGAGCCAUUGCUGCUAUAUCUGGCGGCGACGAAUCAAGUCGUCAGCGCCGCACUGGUGGCAUAGAGGGAGGUCGACGAGGAGGCAGUGACGGCGGCAGAACCAGCGGAUGGCAAGCCAAAGAUUCCCCCGGCAGGGCCUGGUGCCGGCAAGGCGCGGCCCCCGGCAGAGUCUGAUGCCACCAAGGCAGUGCCCGCGCAGUCGAGUGAGGUGGUGCAGAAGAAGAAGAUGAUGCAGCACCCGGUUUACUUUGUCAGCUCCCUCUUGCAGGGGGCUAGGUCGAGGUAUUCCAGUGUGCAAAAAUUUCUCUUCGGCCUCCUUAUGGCCUCGAGGAAGCUGCUUCAUUACUUCCAAGCCCACGAGAUCACUUCCGUCACCCGCCUCCUGUUGCAACGGAUACUGCAUAACCCAGAUGCAACCGGAAGGAUUGUGGAAUGGGCCUUGGAGCUAUCAAGUUUCGGUUUGAAGUUUGAAAGUACCCUGACAAUCUAGAGCAGAGUCUUGGCAGAGUUCAUUGCAGAAUGGUCGUCAACGCCUGACGAAGAAAUCCAGGAGACCACUCUCCCCGGCAAGGAAGCGGACCGCGACUGGAUCAUGUACUUUGAUGGGGCUUUCUCGCUGCAAGGCACCGGUGCCGGUGUGCUGCUCGUCGCGACCACCGGAGAGCACCUCAAGUACGUGAUCUAGAUGCACUUCCCCAGGGAGAUGUCCACCAACAACACUGCUGAGUACGAGGGAUUGCUCGCCGGUCUCAGGAUCGCGGCAGACCUCGGGGUUAAGAAGGUCAUCGUCAGGGGUGACUCGCAACUUGUUGUUAGGCAGGUCAACAAGGAUUACCAGAGCUCAUUGAUGGAGGCCUACGUAGAUGAGGUGAGGAAGCUGGAGGAACGCUUUGACGGUAUCCAAGCGGAGCACGUCCCCCGAAUGGAGAAUGACAUCGCCGAUUACCUGCCAAAGCGUGCUGCAUUCAAGCUACCUGUGGAACCAGGUACCUUUUUGCUCCGGUUAAGUCAACCAUUCGUCGAGCCAUCAACGGGGCAGAACAAGCGGAGGAAGUCAGGUCCCGGCAAUUACUUUCCUACCGAGCCCCCUGGGGCCGCCGGCAAGGGUGCUGCCGCGGACGCUGGGCCUGCCUAAGAGCAACUGGCUCCAGCAGGGCAUCAAGCCUUGGCCGUAGAGACAACCACUCCCGUGGCGGAAGAGAUGCCUUUGGUCCUUGCCGUCGAGCCCCAGGCUCUGGCAUGGGCGCAGCAUACUGUCCAAUUCCUCCAAACAGGGGAGCUUCCUGAGGAGCAGGAAGAAGCGGAGAAAGUAGUCCGUCGGUCCGCCCUGUACCAGUUCGUCGAUGACGUCCUGUACAGGAGAAGGCCGAACGGUGUGAAACUAAAGUGCAUCCCCCGGGAGGAAGGACUGGAGCUGUUGGCGGAGAUACAUGGAGGCAUAUGUGGCUCCCACGUAGGGUCGAGGGCCCUUGCCGGAAAGGCGUUCCGGCAAGGUUUCUUCUGGCCCACCGCCCUCCAGGAUGCGACGGCACUAGUAACCAAGUGUGAAGCGUGUCAGUUCCAUUCAAAGAAGCUUCAUCAACCAGCUCAAGCCCUUCAAACAAUCCCUCUCUCCUAGCCAUUCUCGGUCUGGGGGCUCGAUAUACUGGGCCCUUUCCCCCGUGCUGUCGGGGGCUUUGAGUACUUGUACGUUGCAAUCGACAAGUUCACAAAGUGGCCGGAAGUGGAAGCAGUGAGAAAGGUGACUGCUCAGUCAGCCGUCAAGUUCUUCAAGGGACUGGUCUGCCAUUUUGGUGUGCCAAACAGAGUCAUCACCGACAACGGCACGCAGUUCACAAGCCACACCUUCAUGCAAUACAUUCAAGACCUCGGUAGCAAGGUCUGUUUUGCUUCCGUGGCACACCCACGGAGCAACGGCCAAGCGGAGAGGGCAAAUGCUGAAGUGUUGCGAGGCCUGAGAACGAAGACCUUUGACAAGCUGCACAAGAGUGGAAGGCGCUGGAUUGAUGAGUUGCCGGUGGUUCUUUGGUCGAUCAGGACAACGCCAAAUCGAGCCACCAGCCAGAAACCUUUUGCCCUGGUAUACGGGGCAGAAGCAGUUCUCCCCACGGAACUCAUAUAUGGGUCACCUCGAGUGCUCGCUCAUGAUGAGCUUGAGCAAGAGUAGUUGCGCCAAGAUGACGCGACGCUCCUUGAGGAAGAUCGUCUUCGGGCGGCUAUGAGAGCAGCACGCUACCAACAAGCCUUGCGCCGCUACCAUAGCCGCAGGGUUCAUGCCCGAAGCUUUGAGGAAGGCGACCUUGUUCUUUGGCGCGUUCAGUCGGCCAAGAAUUCCAACAAGUUGACGCCGAAGUGGGAAGGCCCUUAUCGGGUAAUGCGAGUCACUAGGCCUGGCGCAGUCCGCCUAGAGACCGAAGAUGCUGUCCGAGUGAGCAACUCCUGGAACAUCGAGCAUCUUCACAAGUUUUACCCGAAAGGCGUGGUUUGCCGGGCCUCCCGGCAAGCCACCUUUUGUACAAGCUUUGCCGGCAAGGCAUGUGACCCUUUGUACAAAGCCAGGCGCAGACCCUGAGCAUAAAUAAAUGAAGCGCUGGCGCUCUAAGUUAUAGCAUGCAUGCUAGGUCGACUCUCUUCCUUGGUUAGGGUUGAUAGUGCUUAGCGGCGACUAACCCCUAGCCUAGAGGUCGAGUGCGCGUCUAUCUGUCUCUUUUCUGUCCUGCCUUAGUUCGCAGGGCACAUGAGCACUUCUGCUGAGCUACUUGGAAGAAAGGAAACAUACCAACGUCCCGACCCUGGCAAACCAGAGUUGCCGGGGGCUGCAAGCACAAGGACCCAACCGCGGCAAGACAAGGUUGUUGGGGGCUGCAGAUCCAGAUAAGUCUUUCAUCCUCUAUCAUGCAUUUCGGAACGGAACUGGGAUAUGUGAAACCUCGUUUUAUUUCUAGGCCACCGUGCUCCCCUUUUUCUAUACCCAAGGAUUAUCUCCUGGGCCCGGAUUUGGUUGUAGUCGCGGUGGCAAGGAAGUAGAACGAGGAGCCUAAGCCCGCUUCAUCCCUGCCUCCGCCAAGGGCGCGAGAAUGGUCGAGCGAAGUGGGGGGACGGCAAGGCCUGUUGCCGGGUGAAAACGUUUAUCUUAAAUUGUAACAAGGACUCGCUCCUUGUCGCGGGGUCUACCCACGAACGAAAAACCCGGCAAACAUCCCUUUUUCAUUUAAAACAUCCCACACAGGUACAGUCCAUACGGAAUGAAAAACAUGAGCAAGGGGAUUACAAGCUUUAAAUUUAACAAGGCCCGAAGGCUUACAGACUAAAAAAGAGAUAAGAUGCCCGUAAUCCCUUUCUUGUCCCUCUCCUCAGGAGGCAGGUCAAGAAGGCUAAAGGGCAAAAGGGGCACCUAGGCGAGCUACGAGCAGCAGAAAGCGCCAAGAGAACACCUCGGUGGCCGCCCACGGGUGGGCCGGUGAUGACGGUGCUGGGAAAGGAGCUGGAAGACGAGGCGACAAGACCGUCAAUAUGCGAUGAAGGCGUUGGUGCCCGCGUACUGCGAGUUGACGGCCUUGCCGCCCCCCCUCUUCCUCUUUCGCAGCCUCCCGACUACAGCCGCCCAAGGAGACGGCCCCGAGAAGUUCAAGGAGCUGGCCCCAUCCCCGGCAAAACUCUGCCGGAGGAGCGGCCAGGUGCAGAUGCUGCUGCUUCCGCACCCGCCCAGGCGCGGGGCAUCCGAUGCCUAGUCGGACUCGUCCCCGUCAUCUGCCCCGCUGUCCUCCUUCGUCACUUUCGCUCGAGGAAGAGCUUCCAUCGUCGAAAUCUCCGUCGAAGGAGCUCUCCACGCAGCAUUUCAGGCGAGUUCCGAAGUCUCCGAAGACCUUGAUGGAGAGUAGGCCGUCCUCCAUUAAUUUGAAGUAGAGGACGAGCCCCGCCAUCGGCUGUGGAUACGAGCGAACGUCUUCCAUCCGUGACGGAGGUACAUGACCCGAGGAGCCGGGAAUUCGACGUCGACCCACAUGCCCCCAUUCCCACAGCCCGUGAUGUGCAAUCUUAGGGAUUGGGGCGGGUCACGCUCCAUCUCCUGAGCAAACAGGGCGGGAAGACGAAGACGGCGACGCGGAGGCCGGCGCAUCCUGAUGAAGAACUCGCGGGGAUGGUCUCCGACAUGGCCUUCUAUCGGAAAAGGCGUCAUUGGAGGGGGCGAAGCCGGCGUGCUGCCCUGUCCUCCUCUUCCCCGAGCACUGCGACCUCUGCUCCGGCCUCACCCACGGCCUCGCCCCCUCCCCCUUCCCCUCACGGCCGGCUCCACCACCGCGGGCUCAGGAGGAGGAGGGACGCGCUGUCGAGCGGCGACCCUCGCCGCCACCGUCGAAGGACCAGGAUUCCCUUUCUCCAUGGCGAGUGAAAGGAAGAAGCAGAAGCGAGAGGAGAUAGAUGACAGAAGAGUGCGGGACGCCAUCUCCCCUUCCCCCUCCUUAUAAGGGAGCGGGGUCGGGGCUCGGCCGCCCCGCUCGGCCAAUCCAGCCACCAGAGGCGUAGGGAAUCGGGACCGACCCGCUGCCCCAACAAGCGACGGCUCGGUUUCCCGCCUCCACCGCUUGCCACCCUAAGUGCAUGAAGGACGCGUGGCGAACGUGCAGAAUCGAGGGGACGGGUGAGGCGACCUCUCCCCACCCCGUGAUCAUGGGGUGUGGAUGCCUUGAAGACCGCGACCCAGCCCCGUGCGGUAAAUGAGCCGCGCCUCCACGCCUCCCUCUUUUUAUGGGGAAGGCGGGAACCGCCUAUUUUACUACGAUAUGGCGCAUGCAUGCGGGAAUUGCCCCACCCAUGCUGCCCACGUCACGCGCACCCCUCCACGCCACGCCGCGCGUGCGGGUCGUGGGAAGCGCCGCGUGCGAAAAGUUUUACCGUGGUAAAAACCGCCCCGCCUGCCCGCGCACUGUUUUGGGCCUGGCCCAACAACGUGUCGCGCUUAUGUGUGGCCCAAGCCCGGGGGCUCUUGUCGGUGUACAAAAAGAGGGGUGCGUUUUUGUACCCCUAUACCUGUGCACGGGCAGUCGGAGCCGCGCCUACAGUCACGCCAAGCAGAACAGGGGAGGUGAGCCAAGGUAAGACCAAAGCCCAAGAUAAUAAGAGCAACGCCAAGGCCAAGACCACUAAGAGCAGAGGGACGAAGCAUGUUCCCCCGGCAAGACCCUUGCCGGGGCAGCCUCAGCAGCCCCGGCAAGAUCCUUGCCGGGACAGCUCGCCCCGCACCAAGAGAGCGAGCCACCCUUGAGCCCACGGUCUCCAACAUCACGUUGGGCCAGGGCUCGGGAGGCGCCUCCGUGGUGGCAUGCAGAUCUUUGCGAAGACAUAUUCAAGAUCAGAUGAUGAUUAGAAGACGACGAUCCUCGGCAAGAUCCUUGCCGAGGAAGGCCACCAGACCCCCGGCAAGGCCCUUGCCGGGGACGACAGCGUGCCAUGGCAAGACCCUUGCCGAGCCACACGGCAAGACCCUUGCCGGGCCACCCAGCAAGGCCCUCACCAAGGACGCCAGCAGGGCCACCGCCAGGCCCACGCCAACCAAGCUUCCACCGCCGUUCACAUGCAGCUGCCAGCCCAACCAGCUGGGCGGGCACCUGCAUGGCAACAUGCAGCUCCCAGGCCAACUCAUCGAGCGCCUGCGUGGUGGCAUGCAGAUCUUCCUGAAGGCUCCGCCACUGCGCCACCUCAGCUGCCUGCCUGCCUACAUGGCACCACGCGCCUCACUGGCCAGGGCGCGUGUCAAAGCAAGGAGGAGCAUGGACGGACGGGACGGGCCUCGCCCCGUCCCCAAUAAAGCAAGGGGACACCUAAGCUACGCAUUAAAUGCGUCUUGUCCUGUAAUACGAGCGAUAAGCUCAGGGCACUGUACACCUUACCACCUCCUGUGUGCCACUGUGGCAGCCCCUUCCGACUAUAAAAGGAGGCCCAUGGCAUACUGAAGAAGGAUUCGGCUCUUUCGAACCACACACUGACCACAGCUAGUUCGAGAGCUCAGGAACUCUCUGAAAUACACCCACCAAAGCAGGACUAGGGUUUUACGCAUCCUUGCGGCCCGAACCUGGGUAAAUGAUCCUUGUGCUGUCUACUAGCCCUGCUCUUCUCGCAACCCCGCGCCCUGGCAACCGUGGUAGGGAUUCUUGUGAUCCCAUAGGUGUCGUUCCACACCGACAGCCGUGGGCCGCAGGCAGGCAGGUCUGGGGACCCCCGUUCCCAGAACGCCGACAUAUGUGAUUUUUUGGAAGAAGAAUCAACGCGAGAUGAUGCCCAAGGGGGCCACGAGGAAGGGGGCGCGCCCCUGACCCUCGUGGCCACCCCGUAAGGUGGUUGGUGCCCUUCUUUCGUCGCAAGAAAGCCAAUAUCCGGAUAAAAAUCGUGUCCAAAUUUCAGCCCAAUCGGAGUUACGAAUCUCCCGGAAUAUAAGAAAUGGUGAAAGGCCAGAAUGUGAGAACGCAGAAACAGAGAGAGACAGAGAGACAGAUCCAAUCUUGGAGGGGCUCUCGCCCCUCCCAUGCCAUGGAAGCCAAGGACCAGAGGGGAAACCCUUCUCCCAUCUAGGGAGAAGGUCAAGGAAGAAGAAGAGAAUGGGGGCUCUCUCCCCCUCUCUUCCGGUGGCGCCGGAACGCCGCCGGGGCCAUCGUCAUCACCGCAAUCACUACAAGAAAGUUGUUAAUACAUGACGGUCCUGGUCCAUCACAAAUCGUCCAAAAACUGUCAUGCGUGCCCACCCAUGACGGAUUAGAAAUCCGUCAUGUAUAUCGCGUCAUAAUUUCACAUCUAACCUUCCAUGGCGGUUAUUGGCCGUGAAGGAUCUGCCCCAGGCCCACCCGGCCCAAACUAGGAUAUGACGGAACAGACCGUCACCGAUUUACAUGACCUGGAAUCAACGUGGACCUAACAUGGCGCCUACAUGGAUCUAACAUGGAGGCGAGCAUGGGCCCAGUUAGGGUUUUGGCCUAAUAAUUUCGUUCCAGUCAGACUAAUAAUUUCAUUCCAUCCCACCCCCAUUUGCCCCUUUUUUAGUCCAGCCUGUUUUAUCGAUGCAUCACAAUUUACAAAGACAACAAAUUAUAUUCAUUCAAAAAAUAGCAUUUGUUCACAAGACAAUACAAAUUUCCUACUAUCUGGUCUGAUUUUGAAAAACAAAAUUAAUAUCAAAACAUCACAAGCAUAUCUAGAAGGCGCUAUAAGCAUUUAAAAAAAAUCGAGUAACAUGACUCCGUUGAAAAAGCACUACUGGGUGAUUUUAAUCUCUAACACUACACAGCCACUUCCACGCAGCUAAUUGGACCCAAGUAAUCCUGCUGAAAAACUUUAAUCUCCAGUAACACGGACUAACUGCAAAAUCUGCAAAGAAUCCAAAACACAUCAGAAUGAUAAUAAGUUAUAACAGCCAGCUCCCAAAUGAAUACAAAGAGCAAUAAUUAGUUGAUUUUCCAAGCAAUCAUCUGAUGCACACACCACUACUAUAUUAAGGUAGCAUAAAAAUGUGGGCAACACACGCUAAGAAAAAGCAGAAUAGUAAUACUGGAGGCAUACUUUCUUCAUCAAUUAAAAGUAAUUAUGUUAAUAAACUAGCCUUUUGCAUGUAAUGUGAAAUAAAAACCACUCAAAGGCAAGAGCAUUUUAGGGAAUUAAAUGAUCCACUUAGUACGAUAACCUUCACAUCUAGAUUAACAACACCUGGGAGUUGUGAAGAACAAUGACAUAUGUUGGAAUAAAAAAACAUGCAUUCUCUAAUUUACUGAUUAGCCUUCAUGGCAUACAAGGUACAUAAUUAUCUUUGCCCUCACUUCAGUAUGAGAUGGUAUGAAGAAUUGAGAUAGAGCAUGUGUUGAAAUUGUAUAUAUGCCACUUCCUGAUUAUUAUCUUUACUAGCAGGAUUACUAGCAUAUUCUCUAUUCCUGAUUAUUAUCUCAAUUGCUUUCUACAAAGAGCCCCCACAUGAAAAUGUAUUAAGUAUAUAAUUCAAGGGAAUAUACCUGAUCUCUUUUUUUGUAUAGUUCUGGUUGUAUACCUAACAUUUUAGUUUAAAGAUUACUAGCACACCAUUAAUUAAUUAUUCUUUCCAGUAGGCUUUCACCAAUGACGUGGUGUGAAUAAUACCGAGAAAUAGAGAAUAUGCUAGGAAUAACACUGAAAUUUUGAGACUGAACAAAUGCACGAUGUAGCAGAUCGAACACUCUUAAAUCUGAAGCGAAAAUAAUAUGCCAUCUAUUAGGUAUCUUAAAGAAAAAGCAUGCAAUCUUCACUUCCAUCGCUCCUUCAGAUUGCAAUUCUGUGAAUACGCAUUUCCAGAAAUACAAUAGUACAAAUCCAUCACUUCUACUAUAAUAAGCAAAAAAACUCAGCAUCAUAUAAACUGUUGCUUGCAAACCCCAAAAAGAAGGGAAAACAAAAGGAUUAUUCAUCCAAGUAUAUUAAGAAGUCAGGCAAUAAUUGAAUAAGACAUCAAGGCAGUAAUGAAGAAGUCAGGUAAUCAAUUCUUCUUUCUUUCAUUGUUACUUACAAUUUUCUUUUUGGAACAGAAGUAUGGACACACAAAGUAUACUCGGGAGACAAAGAAGGUAAACAAACUACAAAAGUUAAUUAUUGUUUCCAAGUAACGGCGUCAGCGCCUUUUUCGCCAUUUGGACUUUUGACCCAUACUGUAUGCAGAGCAGAAAACCAUCAUGGACAUUAAAGAGGUACAAUCAGGUAGAAGUGGAAGUGAACUGUUGCUAAAGAAAGCCAAGCAUGGUUUUCUUGCAUUUUUAAUUGUUGUUCUGAACAUAUCCUACUCUCCUUUCGAAUAGCCCAUGAUCUCUACCUGUUAAUUGGAGCACGCUAGCGGUAACUCAAAUAUCUAGACAUCUCUUCUACCUGCGACCUUUUUGUAUCUAAUUUUGUAUCUAAACAUCUCUUCUACCUGACACAAAGGCCAACCUUUUAGUACCACCUCUCCUAGAUUCACACAUGAAAAAAAUGCAUCGUACCUACAAACUGUAAAAUGGAUUGCCUAGCUCUUGUAUAUAUGAUAUGUAUGUGAAUCGGUUCUUGACAGACUAUGUCACCGAUAUAUUGAGACUUCUGUUAUGUGUUCCCUCCGUCCAGAUGUGAAGGACAGGAGAGGCACAAUCAAUUUUACAACUCAAAUAUUCUCCCCUUCAAAACAUACAGACCACUUCCCCUUAUUAGAUAAAAGAAAUAAACAAUCAGCUACAUCAACAAAAAGAUAUUCAUAUACUUUGCAACAACAUAUGCUCUUACCUACUUUAGAGAAAAAUCAAUUUAUCAAUCUAUAUGGCGCGGCAGCAAGACGCUAGUAUGUUGUAUGCGUGCAGAACAGGAACUUGUUCAGAAUAGUGACCUGCACUAUAGAUUGCAUUUAACAGUCUUGUUGAACCUGCAGUUUAGAUCACGGGUUCAGGGAACUUCUUGUAAACAAAUGUAAAGGUUCAUUUACUAGCUAUCUAGUCAUUGAGAAUCAAGCUUCUCUGAUUUUGAAUUUGAAUAUGUGUGUAAUGGGGAGUUUUUUUGCAUGCAGACAUACAUAAUGCUACACAUAGGCUGCAAUUAUCUCUCACCAAAUUUUGACUCUAUUCUACUCUAUUCAGCUUGUACUGCCCACUCACAAAACAAUAGUUGGGACUAUCAAUGCCCAUGGCUACAGAAUUCCUCUAAACAACACUUCUGUACUUGUUAAAUUACUCGAAUGUAACUAUCCCCCGUUUUCUGGAACCAACAAUUUUUAAAUCUAUGAUCCAUAACUAAAAAUGCAUUAGUAAACUGCAGGGCCAUGCUAGGAAAUCGGGAAGGUCUUCCUUGGUAUGAAUGCACCAAGUGCCUUUUCCAAACUCUGGGUGUUCCUGACAUCUUUAUGUAUUGGGUGAGAAUUAGAUGGCAGAACCUAUAACAAUUUGGUGAAAAUUAUAUGUUCAAAUACUUACAUGAACCUAUAAAUAUUUAGGUUGAAUCAUUACCUGUUUAUUUAUAUAGAUGAGCACGUUCAGUCAGAUAAAGCCCAUCCUAAAAAAAAAGAUGCCGACGGGAGAGAAAGAUGGGGUUUGAGGUGCUCACCUGGGCAAGGGAGGGCCUCUAGUGGUCCAAAUGCUGCAAAGGAGGUUGCCACAGGAUGCACAGCCGCGCCAGAGAUGUGGCAGAGGAGGUUGGGGUCGCCGCCGUGCAGCCCAACGCGGGCGAACACACUGAGCUAGGAGAAGCCAUCCAGAAGGUGGAGAUGGCGCGAGUCCGCGCGGUGUGCAAUGGAGCGAAGCCGCCGGAGACGUGCCGAGGAUGGACGCGAUCUGCAGCCGAAACCCUAGCCACAGGCUAGGCGUCACAGGCGAGCGCAGGGGAACGGGUGCGGCGGAUCCAACUGGCUUGGAGGACGAGGGGUCAGAGACCAGCUCAUCUAUGUGUUGCGCGGUGGUGGAGUCACCGGAACCGGCGGGCGUUGGCUGCGGCGUGAGGGAUGCGGCGGAUCUGGUAGCUACUGGUGCUGCGAGGUGAGAGGAGAGAAGGGGGGGGGCCAAUGGCGAGCAAUGACAGGAGGGAGGCGAGGAGAUGGUUGGUGGCGGCGAUGUGGGAGGGACGAUGGGGAAUCAGGAGGGGGCU